AGAAGCUUCGUACCUAACAAUACCAACCAUGUCUAAUCCUCAAUAGGGUUCGGUUUCAGGUAAGUCCCACUUGGUGUAAGGUGUGGUGGGUACUUAUUCACCAAUUUUAUAUCAUCAAUCAAUGCUAUAUCGGUAUUAGAUAUUAACAUUGCGUAGAGUACGAGGCAACUCUACAGCGCAGCGGUACGUAACCAUGGACCUCACAUAGGAAACAAGCUGGAAAAUUAGCCUAAUUCAAUCUAAACCAAUUUUCUUAGUACAUUUUCGUAUCUCACGAUACCAUGCUAAAUUUAACAUAAACAAAAAUUAAUCUCAAAUAAACUAUUUUAACUAUCAAAUUUAAGUCAAAAUCAACAUCAACUAAUAUGAUAGUAUUAGUCAAUUUGGAUAUCUAAAAUGUUAUAUGUUGAGUCUUUUUUUUAUAACUUUGGUGCGAUUCCAGAGGUUUUCUAGGUCCAAUGACUAAUCACCAAGAGAUUAAUAAAAAUCUAGAUUUUCUUGCCACUUAAUACAUAUGUGGAUGGCCAAGAGAAAUCGAACCCAUGAUGAAAGUUUCAGCUGAAAUUUCUUUACCAUUAGACCAAAACCACUUGGUUAAACAAAAAGUUAUAUGUUGAGUCCGUUAUCAUAUAUUUAAUUUUUCUGAAUAAGCUGUCAAAUAUAAAUAUUCAUCAAAAACUAUGUGAAGAUCUAAAAAUAUAUCUAAAAAUAUAUCUAAAAAAUCGUAAAAUAUAUAUAUAAAAUUUACAAUUGUAAAAACACACUGUUUGAAAAUAUAAGCGAAAACUCAAAAUAGGAAAACAGCUUAUUUCAACUAGAAAAUUUGCAUCAUACCUUUUAAUACUGUAACUUUGAUACUAUACAAAUUUCAACAAAAGCUAAAAUUCAAAUCAAAUAAACUAGAUGAACUAUCAAAUUUGAGCCAAAAUCAACAUAUACCGAAAUAAGUUGGUCAAUUUAUUGAGUCAGAUAUCAUGCAUACAGUUUCGGCUGAGUUAAAUAUACAGUUUCUUAUGAUUUAUCUGCCAUGCAUCGACAAAAAAAUAUUAAUAAUUAUAUAUAAUUCAUAAUAUAUCCAAAACCUUGAAAAAACUAACAUACCUAAAACCUAAAAGUAUAUUCUACAAAUCAAGAUAUAUAUGAAAAUUCGAGAUACUAAAAUACUCAUAAUAUAACAUGAUACCUAACAAAUCAAUACAUACAACUUUUUGAGUUAUUCGGGUAACUGAUCUAUACUCAAGUAGGAAUCAGAACCUAACCCAUAUCCAAGGGUCUAAGCAUGGAGAAUCCAAUAGGGUAAAACAUCCAUAACCAAACCUGAUUCGAGUCAUUUUUUGGGUUGUUUUGGUUGGGGAACGCUCUGUGCAUUUUACUUGAACCUCAUAACCCGAAGUGGAACCAAUAAAACAAAAAAAAAACAAUUCACACAAAGUCCAGUUAUAGAUAUUCUACCGUAUUAGGUUUUGCACUUUUAAACCUUUGAUAUUAUUUUGGUUUCAGUUUUUAUCCGAGAAUCGAUCGGGUACUCCUAUAGUCUAAACAUUAUAUUAUUUUUUAAAUUUUUAGUUAUUACAGACUUACAGUAUGGUUUUGAUAUUACGUAUUUUUUUUUUUAGUUUUCUUCAGUUUUCAGUGUAUUUAAUUUGGGCUUAUAUUGAUAUUUUGGUUUUUGUUUUGAUAUUUUAGUUUUACUGGGUUUUUGGGUAUAUUUUUUGUUUUGAAUUUUUGGGUAUAUUUUAGAUUUGCGGGUAUUUUUUGGAUUUUGGUUAUUCUGAAGUUUUUCGAGUUUCAGAUAUAUUUUUGGAUUUUAGAAUAUACUUUAAACAUUGUAGGUACCUAUUGAUAAUUUUUAGCGUGUGGAAGUUGACUUAGAAAAAUUUAGACACAUGACUGACAUCUGAUUCAACAAAGUUUAACAACAUAAUUUAAAGUACAUUUUAGUUAAUGUUAAAACUAAAACACCAAAAUUAAUAUCUGAAUAAACACAUCCAAAGUUGUUCAUAUUAAAUUAUGCUUUUCUGAAACAAGGUGAACAAUGAACACCUUGAUUCCAAAUCUUAGCUCUAUUAAAAAUUAGAUAUAUCCGGUUAGGAUCUGAAACCUUUUGUUACAAAUCCUAAGCUUUUGUGGAGAGUACUAAUCCUAAGUAGAUUUUAACGAUUUUAUUUCCUAAAAUAGCUGUCAAAAAAAAAAAAAAACUGUCAAAAAAAAAAAAUUUCCUAAAAUAGAAAACCUGAACCAAAACUUGAAUGGAACACCUCGAUCAUAAAGACAUAAACUGAUCAAUGUGUGAUCUUAUUGCAGAAAUAUAAGAAUCUAUCAGUACAUAUUAUCUUUUAUAAAUGCAUGCUUACAAACUAGAGAGAAGAGAAGGGGAAUGCGUUCUUUCUAUUUCAUCUACUUCAUCUUUCUGCGAAUUUCAUAGAAGUAGCUAAAGGCCACAACAGCAGCAGCCACCGCGACUCCGACUGCAGUAUGUGCCAGUGCGGUGCAGUCUGUUAUCGCCAUAGUGACUGUAGACGUUGGUGUGAAUCCAAGUUCUGAAAGUUUCUUGUGUGACUCUGCAUAGUCUCUGAAGAAUGCAUCUUCGUCCUGUUGGGAAAAAGAGUUACAAACUUCAACAAACAAAAUGGCUAACCAAAAAAAAAAAAAAUAAAGAUGGCACAAUAAUGAAGAUAUUACAUACCUUUGCGUAAAGCUCAACAUAUUGACGGAACUCCGGAACUUCCAACAAAGACUUGUCCGUUGAAAGUUUCAGCAAGCCAUCUGAUUCAUCUUCUUUUAGCAAUUCCCUGGUACCAACAAUGAUCAUGGUUUAAACAAACCACUAACCAUAAUUACUAGUUGUUGUUCCCAAAUGUCACAGGAAUUUAAAGAAUCUUACACAAAGUAUGAGUUAUCAAACUUGAGAGGAUCUUGAGUCCAUUGUCCGUCAAAACCUGAUCUCUCUGGAUGAGCCAUUCCCUAAUCACCGGAAUCUUAUUUUUUGUAAACUUUGUAAACUUUAUACACAAAUUAUUGAUUAUAUUUAAUACCAAAUGACUAAUAUGAAUUGUGCAACAAAGAAUUUACCAGAGUAUGUGCCCCUGACAGUGCCACAAUAUCUUUGUCAGACAGUCCCAUCCGGUGGAAGACAUCUUUCAGAUGUUUGGAACCUACAUGCAAAUUAACAAGACAUAACUUCAUAUUUAAAUCCUCAUUCAGGAAAUAAUACAAUUCCAACAGAUAAAGUAUAUUGUAUAUUGGGGUAAAACCAUGACACUCCAGAUAUUCCAUGCGUUCAUCCACCAUUUUACUUAUUUACUACACAAACACAAAGCUUGUGAUUAUUAGCAUAUAACUUUCAUCCUACCUUGAUUAGCAUCAGGAAGUCGUCCUUCGUCCGUGCAUGCAUUUGAAUCCUAUAAGAAAGAAACAUAAAGCUAAUGUUGUUAUAUUGCUUUUUGACAGUAAGAUGUUAUUAAUUGCUGAGAAAAUAUUACUUUUCUGCCAGGAACAAAACUGAUGUCAGGUCCACCAGUCACUUCAACUGCUACCACACCAGCAAGCUGAAAUUGGCAUAAUCAAAUUCAUGGGAAAAUGAAUGAGCAAAACAUGUUUUCUAUAAGAUAAUAUUGGCCCUGGUUGUGUACUUUUGCUGGUUGUGUACUUUUUGUUCUGAGCAUUCACUUUAUGGUUACAAUUGUAAAAGCCAGAAACACACAAAAAGACAAAAUAAGCCGAAAUAAUUUCAGUACAAGUAAUUCUCAGUUUCCCUGUUUCUAUACCCAAAGGACUGCACGACAACUGAAACAAAUAUAUCUAACAAACUAACACACUUGAUCAGGUUAUAAAGGCAACUAAUAAAAAGUCUUGUAACCUUUACUGACCAAAAAGGGAUACUGAUUUUACUUCAGAGUCUUAAUUGUAAUGAUCAUAUCAUCAUUGACGUUCAAGCAACAUUCGUUUUAGUUACCUGGUACAGGUCCGCAUAACUGAUCUUGGGAUGCUUCGUUUUCACGUCCUCUGAAAUAUCAAAUAAUCAACAUUAAAAUUCAAUAUAAGCAGUAACAAUAUUUAAAAAAAUUAUUCAAGUCAUAAGACAACAAAAAUACACCCCACAUGAGUACAAGGUAAAGGUUUCCUAAAUUGAUGAGCAUAGAAGACACACUCUGACAACUUAAACCUGUGAUUUCUCAUAAUCAAUACUAAUAGAACUAUCUCAUCACAGGUACAAGUAAAUCCAGGUGAAACAUAGCCAACCAUCUCAAAGUAUGUGUAUAACCUAUAAAGAUAUCAUAACCCAUAUCAAACACACAAUCAAUCAAUGAACCUCAAAAUCGAAACGUUAUUCCAUACAUAGAGAAGGUAAAAUAAAACCUCACCACAGAGAUCAAGCGCUAUCUUCAAACCGCUGUUGGCACCAUGACUGUACUCUGCUUCGUUCCUAAUGGAGCCAUUAGGUCCACCGGUCUUGGAUUCAGCAUCAUAGGUUCCAGCAUCAUGCCACCUUUUCACAAACCAGACAAGACCGAAAUCGCACAUGCAGUACACAAAAAAAAUUCAAACGACAGAAACAGAAACUUACGCCAAACGGAGCAUGAUCGGAGCGCAGUUCUUCUUGGCGAUGAGAGCACGGAGUUCACGGCGAGCCUUGUCGAUUUCCUUAAGGUACUCGGCGUCAACGAUGAGUGCCGCCAUUGUUAGCCUUGAGUCUUUUGAGAGAGAGAGAGAUGAAGAUAUAUAAGAAACAAUAUAUGGUUCAAAGGAAGAUAAUGUAAUCAAAUAUUGUUUUUUAGUUAACGUUGAAGUUUGAGCCAAAGAGAUAAAACCACCCAAUGGGGAAAUGGGCUUAAAAGAAUAGAUGGAUCGGUGUCAGUGAUCUUCUGUUCUCUGCAGUAUCUAACCUCUAGUGGAUUUCGCCUAAUAAGAGUAUUAUUAUCUGCAUGUUGUUUUUCUAGCAUCUAAACGGCAUGAGAGUUAAUACAUAGUUAUAAAACGGCAAGCAUGUUUUGUAUUAAGAAACAUUUCUUUCUUUAUAAUCCAUCUAUGGCUUUGAUGGGUAACCGUUAAAUUCAAUGGAAAAGUGAAUAAUACAAUGAAAAAAUAUUCAGUCGAGAAAAUGAAAAAGCAUAUCUAGAUGAAUUUGUGUUCAUUCCAUUCUUCAUAAAAACUAGAGAGAUUUUUUUUCUUCUUAAUUUUUUUCAUUUAUAAGGAAAUGAAAGAAAUAGAGUGGAACUCAUGAAUAUAAUCUAACAAAAUAUUCAACAUAAAUGGCAUAAAAGUUGAUGAAUGAAAAAUUUAUCAUUAUUUUUCUCUAAAUUAUGAUCACCAAUUGAAGUCUAAAAAAUUUUGGUUUACGUUUGUCAAAAUACUAAUUUCCUAAAACCGAAAAAUUGUAAAUUAUAAGAUUGGUGUUAGACAUUUAGGGGGUGAAUUCAACUACGAAUCCGAGGUGUUUUAUAUUAAAAUGAUAAAUUUACUGUUAUUCAAAUAUGGAUUUAUAAAAAAAGACUUUAGUAUUACUGAAUAAUCUAGUGUUAUUGAACAUAAUUUAAACUAGAGAUAUUAAAAUGAUUUAAAUGUUUUAGAAUUGGUCAAAAAUAAAAAAAAUAUUUCUAAAAUGUUUGAAAAGAGUUUCUUAAUUAUAAAAAUAAAAACUCAAAUUUCAUAUUUUUAGUCUUUAAAUGAAAUUCUAGUGUUGUUUAACAAAAAUCACACUAUAUUCUCAGAUUCAUCUACAAUCAUGUAGAAACUCAAUAAAAAUCAUAUCACGAUUCAAUACACUUAAAAACGCAUUCUUAGGGUAUUAUGUAAGAUUUAUUAUUUUUUUCCUUUCUACUCUACAAUAUAUCUAAAACAGUUCCCAACCAACCACCGAUCUUCACCGCGUAAACGGCCGGUGUCAGUUUUCGACAUCGGUUUUUAAAAGCAUAACAAAUUUGUUUUAAACUUUUUUUUUCAAUAGCAAGAAGUCCAUUUCAUUUAACAAUCAGUCUUCUUCGCUACACUCUACCAAAUUUAGUUAUAGUUUAUAAGGAAUAAUUUCAAAAUUCGUUACAUCUUAUAAUAUACGUUUUACUUAAUAAAUUCAAAAAUGGAACAACAAAACAAUGCAUAGCUUUUGUAUCUACACAACAUGAAAUACAAAACAGUUCAGCGAAGCAAGUAUAGAUAUAUAUACUUAGUUCUUCUUUGGACGGCCACACUUGACUUGCACAGCAAGCGUCUUCACAACUUUGGGACAUGAAUCCUUUUUAUCUUCCUGGAAGGUGCUCUUGUUAACCGGAAUCACACAUUCUGCUUUACCCAAACAAUACUGCAGCAACAAAGAAAAACCAGUCCCCGUUACUUUUGUAGCAAGAAACAUUAUUUACAUAAACUAUCGCCAGUUCAAAUUUCUUACCUUCUCGACGACUUGUUUAGUGACAGGAGCAUGGCAAGAUCCACGGGUGAAGUUUCCGCAACUCCCAGUAGGGUUUCCAAAGCUAGCAAAUUCCACCGCGGAGAUCUUCUUAGUGCCGGAACAUUUGAGAUUAGCCGUGAGCUGCACAUCAUCAGUGAUGGCCUGGACAUUGUCAUUCUUCCUAGCCCAGUGUCGGACACUAGGAGUGUAGUCUUCUCCAAUGUAAGAACACACGGUGUCUCUAUUGACGAUGACAAAAUCGAUAAGCUCUGGAUUCACAUUUGGUUCUUCCUCGAAUAUAACCAGAAGAUUUUUCUUGGGCUUCAAGAAAGACCUAGGGAUAUGAUACUCGAUUUGUGUUGACUUGCCUAAAGGAGAUAAAAACGACAUCCAAUAUCGACCAACACCUUCUCCGUUAACCCAAAUCAAACCCUUUCCCAUUCCAUUCAUCCUUAUUGCUGCAGGGCUUAGGCUUUCUGGCGCAUCAAAGUAUGUCUGCAUCAUAUAUUUCAAAUAUUGUUCAUUAAUUAGAUCAUUUAAAUUAUCUCCUAUUAUAUGAUGGCUGAUAUGAUGAUCAAAUAUAUCUUUUUCUGAAAAGAUUUUAGUAAUUCCACCUGGUACCAUGUAAGUCCUGGUGCUUUUCCUGAGAAUUUCUCCCACUUAACCUUCUUCAGUCCUUUCUCGGUGUGAAUAUCGAGCUUUUCGCCUUCCAUACCCACCUACAGAUUUGGAAAAUCAGAUCAAAAUCGGCUAGACGGUUGAGAAAGUAAGAUUCAUGACAAACCUUGUUUCCCCAUUUGCUUUUCUCAGUAAGAUCCAUUGGUCCAGAGCUCAACCCUGAGAUGGAAACACUACGUGGACCUGUGAAUCUAUGCUCCAGAUAAGACCCACUGUCCUGUUGACACACAAGAAAAUCAUAGAUGAUAUCAUCAGUAAACUUGAAUGUUUUUGUUAUUACAUAAUUUUUUGUAAGAAAAUAUAUGUUUUCUUACUGGAAAUCCUGUUAAAACCCCUAGCAUGGUGAGGUGGUUAUCUCCUUCUUUUAGUGCAAUCGGCUUCUGAAAGACGAAACUCUUCUCAUCAUGGCUACCAUGUCCGUUUCCUGAAAAAAAAUUCAUUAAUUAUUCCAGUUCUCUAAUCAUGAAAUCUAAAUAUUGUAACUUAUCAAUAUUACCAAGGUAUUCUCCAUUGAGCCAGGCAUGCAACGCGUGGCCAAGACUAGCAACCCUCACAGUAGGCUUGCCUCCCUUCUUCUUAAGGUCACUAUCAUCUAUCUUGAAGCUAUAAUAUAGAAAAUUAAUCAGAUAAAGUUCUUAUGUUUCUUUUUGAUGUUUUCUUCUUUAAAAAUUUGAUACAUAAAAUAAUUAAAUCCAUUUGUACGCUUACUUUGUUGUGUACCAUCCGUAAUCAGACUCGUCUUUGGCCAAGCCAUAGAGCUCAACGGGGACAUAAGAAUCACCUUUAAGCUCCUGUGGAACGGUCUCGGUGAACACUUUGAAAUCAAACUUCUUAUUUGCCUUCUUUGACUUCAUAAAGUUCCUUGCAGUGUGAUGAGAGACAAUCUGAAACAUAUAGCAGCCAAAAAAAAUGUAAUUAAAGAAUCUUUUAUUUCUCUUAGUAAUUACUUGAUUUGUAACAAGAUUUUUGAUAUAUCAUCAUCACCUCUCCGGUGCUAUACACAACAGUUUUGCAGUCAGGGAGAAUACUGAUGGAACGAGGCGGUAUAACGUAAUCCUUGCCCCUGAAUUUGAUUAUUUCUGCAGAUUCUGUGUUAUUGUUAGCUAGAAACGCUGCACAAACUUUAGUUCCAGGCUGCUCGUAGUAUCUUAUCUGCAAUUACAACAAUACAUAUCAAAAUCAAGAAAUUGAGCAUUUCUAUUUAUUCUGUUAGAAAGAUUUCAAAUGUUUGGAUUUAUCGAUGCAUAUAUAUAGAUGCAGUUACCUCUGUGUCUUUGCCAGGCUUCUCAGUUCGAGAUUGGCCCCAGAGAAGUGCCUUCUUGCACAAGUUAAGUGCGUUGUGAAGAUGUUUUAGAUGACCGUACUUAGGCUCCUUUUCCAAUCCUAUGUGUGUAACAAAAAGGCACACGAGAAAAAUACAUUAAUCAUCAACUAGAUUUUAUUAAUUAAAAAAAAAAAUUCUGCUACUUGUGUUUUUUAUUUUAUUUUACCGUAUUCAUCAAGAGGUGCAUCAUCAUAGUAACGAGUGGUUACAUAAUGAGCAGAGGUUCUUCCAAAGUUAGUACCUCCAUGAUACUACAAGAAAACAAACAAUUUGAUAACGUUCUUCGAACAUAUAAUUGGGGGUUUAUACAGUAUUCUUAUCUACCAUGUAGUAGUUAACAUGGCUUCCAUUCUUGGAAAAGAACCGGGCUACAGAAAAGGCUAUAUCUUCUACAGAUCGUUGCACCGGAGGAUCGCCAUAAACGCGGAACCUACAAUCAAUGUACAAGACAAGUUUGACCUCAUUGUCUUUUGUUUCUAGUUGAUGAUAAUUAAGGAGCUCAAGUGAAGAACUCACUGAGUAGUCCAAUUCUCUGUCCAUAAAGAUGGCUUGUGCUCUCUGUUGGGACCAGGGAAUGUAUCACCACAAUGUCUUCCAUUACAGGCGUUGAUCUAUUAAAAUAUUAAAGUUCUUGAUGUUAAAAUUACCUUGUUAUAAUUAUCAAGUAAUGUGAUAGAAAUAUGACUUACCAUAGGAUCAGGAGCAUCAUUUUGCUUACACAUAACCCAUGGGAUCCCCAAAUUCAUAGAAUGUACCAAUUUAGAUGCCCACUUAAUGUAGUUUGAUCCAUCGUUUUUAUAUGCACGUUGAACAGCACUAUACUCAUUCUCUAUCUGCAUCCAGUUUUCAGUUUACAAAGUUUUCAAUAGUUCCAAAUUCAUAUAUAACUAAGAAUAUAUUUUUGGGGUCAAUGAUACCUGUCCUAAUAUGAUGGGUCCUCCUUGUGGAGCAAAAAGCUUCUCCUCCUUCAUCAUAUCAAGUAUCACCCUAACAUACCUCUCUGUAUGUUCCUGCAGUUUCAUCAAAUUAUUGUAAACCUUUUGAUUCUAUUAUCACACUCAUAUAAACAUAUCAUACAUGCACAUGUAUAAAUAAAAAUACCUUGAAUGGUUUAUUGUCUGUACGGAAGAAGAUCCCGGGAAUUUCUCUAAGCCAGUAAGGAAGUCCCCUGAUGUUUAAUCACAACCAUAACCAUGAAACAUGUCACAUAACAACUCAAAACACCAAAACCAUUAUGAAUAAGAAGAGAGUCAAAGAAAUUACCCAUGAGUCCAUUCAGCCUGAAUGAAUGGUCCAAGCCUCAAGGUUACGUACAUACCAUUCUUCUCAAUCAGUUUUAUAAACUUCACCAAAUCGGCUCUACCCGAAAAAUUGAACUGUCCCAACAAAAAUAAACAAAUAACCUCAAAAAAUGAUAUAAGUUUUCUUAUUAAUUUUUCUGAUAUAUUCUCUAAGAAAUUACCUUCCCCUGUUCAAGCUCAUGAAAAUUCCAAAAAACAUAUGUUUGAAUCGUGUUCAAACCACCUUGUUUUGCUCUCUUAAUAAUCUUGGGCCACAUCUAAAACAAAACAUUCUGGCCAGGUAAGUACAAAAUUAAAAUAAAAGUUUAAAGAAAUGAUUUACGAAUGAUUUACAUCAGGAGUGCUACGAGGGUAAUGUAUGGAGCCAGAGUAAAGCAAUUCUCUUUUUCCAUUGAUGAUCAAAGACGUUCCAUCAUAAGUUACUUCUUUCUUCGUGUUCUUCGAGGUUGCCUUCUCCUCGUCCUUGCUUGAGAGAGCUCCAGGGAAGCAGAGGAGAACAACGAGAAUGGCUAGUAAAAGCCAUGGAUGAUUAGAAGAAUGUAUUCUCAUUUGACUAUCUUCUUUGUCUUCUUUUUCUUUUUUUUUCUUGGGACAAUGAAAUAAGGUUUGUUAUAAAGAACUCUUCUUUUUAUUUCCUAAUUUUCUCCUUUAAUUUUGUUUUCUUUUUUACGUUGAAUUUUCUAAUUUUAAGUUUUUUUGUUUGGAGAGCCUAACUUGGCGGGUAUACACACAUACACUUCUCUCACCAUCAAAAAGGAAGAAAAAAUGUGAGCCAAUGCUUAUGCUGAGGAAAUGCUUAAAACUUUGUUCAUGGAGAACCAUUGAUUGUUGUUUUCAUUAUAUAAAACUAUCUGAGGUGGAGUCUCUAAUCAAAUCAUUUGUCAAAAGUAUAUGAUACACAUAUGCAUGAUCUAUCAAUAUAAAUACUCUUUGCACCGAACUGUUUGGGAGAAUACAUAUAUAUAUUUUUUCACACUGUUGAGUUUAAAAGAUGAAGAUAAACAAAAACGAAAUUACCAGUAUACAUGACAUAAAAGUUUAAAAGAGCAGAUAUAUAUAGAACCCGAACUGAAAAGAACAUAUAAAAUAAAACCUAGAAGGAUUGAGGUAAUACCAACCAAUAGACUGACUUUUGUACUAACUCUCAAGGUCAAGGUGCUAGCAUUUACUGACCGGCAGGGGCAAAGCCAAGUAGUAGACACCCACUGAAUUUUCAUUUUUGAUUAUUUUUGUAAAGUAAAAAUUAGAGAUUAGAUAAAAUGGAAUUUCAUUAUUAUUGCACCCACAAUGAAAUAUAAGUCUAGCUUCGCCCCUGUUGACCAGCCUACUCAUUGAGGGGAACAUGAUGAGCUGAGGAGGGCUGUGAUCUCUGGUCUCUGGUAACAGUCCUUGCAAUUUUCAUGGCCAUUUGGUUUUCCCUAGUUAUGUAUGUUCCAGCGACCAGUAUUGGAUUUGACUGAGAUAAUACCUCAUGGCUUCCACUCUAUUUUGCAAGUGAAGAUAAUGCAACGGAUACAAAAUAGAAUCUUGAAUAUGAAAGAAGGAGGCCACAAAGACAACAUGGUAAAGUGGAGCAGCCAGAAGAUAUCAAGUGGCGAUCAUUUUUAGUCGAGAGAGAAAAGCUAAACUAAGGCUUUUCCAAGUAAAGAGAAUUUACCAAAAUCUCGUUUGGUAGAAUCUUAUAAGUGUUCUUUUUUGCUAAAACAAAACCGACAUGGGUGGUAAGACCAUGUUUAUCGGGAGAGUUUAGGAGUUUUUUAGAGGGGGAACCUACAAAACACACAAAAACUGGUGACAGAAGUCACCAAACAUUAUUCGCGGCCCCACUGACACGUGGUGGUCGGCGAUUGGUUCAUUUUUUCAUUUAUAUUUUUUUAAUCAGACAAAAAGAAAAAAAAAUUAAGAAACCCAAAACCCAAAUCACUGAUAAUCAUGCUCUAAGAAACCCUAAACAUAUGGGUUAAUGGACUUGUCUAUAAUAAUGUCUUGGCUUUUCUUGUGUAGUCAUUUUUUUAAUUGCUUUUUAUAAAAGCUUAAUAGUACAAGUGGAUUCUAAAGACCAAUACAAACAUUAAGAGCCCAAUACAAAACUUAAGGGCAUCAUUAACCCUGGUCUCUUAGCCGGGGUUCUUAAUUCAUGAUUUGAUAUUUUUUGUUUUUUUAUUUUUUUAUUACAUUUUUUGGCUAAGAGACAGCUUUUAUAUCUUUUAUUUAAGAGACGGUUCUUAACUUUUCUUAGUUAAAAUCUAAGAAAAGCUAAGAACCAUCUCUUAGCCAAAAAUAAAAACUCCAGCUAAGAGACUUGGAUUAAUGACGAAGAUAAGAACCCCAGUUAAAAGACAAAAAAAAUGUCAAAUCAUAGAUAACUAUAAUACAAACGUUACAAGUGCUAAGGAAAGGGCUGGUCAUUGGGGGUGAGAAGUUUCCCGAGUCAUCCAUCCAGUUCUGUUCACCGGUGCUCCGUUCAACUUUCCGAUCAUCCCUCUGAUCGUCUAUUUGGAAAUGACGCAUGAAGCUCUGUCGUCGUACCCGUCUUGAAACCCACAUGCAAUGCUCGCCAGUUCUUCUAAUUUGAGCUCAAAAUGAUCAUUAAACUAUGGGACCAAUCAAGAAAACAGAUCAUGUGUCAGGAUUUUUUUAUAACAAAACCCCAACUUCACUUAAUCCGCUUCCAAUCGAUAAGCCUCAUCCAUUAACUUCGAAUCUCAACCAAGAAGGAAAAACUUCCUGACUUAUUUCAACAAGAAGAAAAAGACUACUCUCAAUGUAGGAGAUCUAGCAUUCGAAGAUCACAAGAGAACAAAUCAAAGAUCUGGAAUAAAGAAAUUAAACUUGCACGGGAAGAAGUGGUUCAAGCAAAUCAGAGAUAGAAAAUGAAGAUACGACAAAAAACUCUGAUUAGUUUAAAGAUACACAACAAAAAAAGUUGCCCAGCGAAAAAAACUACCGACGAAGUGGAACCGAAGUUGCCUCCGACAUGUACAACAAAAAGCAAAGAGAAAGAGAGUAACCGGCGGCUAAGGUCACCGAUUAUCUUUAUUCAAACAGCUUUUAGAAAGAAGUUUGAGAAAAUAAAGAGAGAAAGAUGAGCCAUCAAUUACUUCCUUCUCUUGUGUAGUGUAGAUGAAUAUCUUUUAUAAAAUAUCACAACCAGGACAAAAAAAUAUAAGUAAAUAUAGAGCAGAAACAAAGGUGACCAUCUCCAAUGUAUUUUGCUAUUUUUACCUCUAAAAUAGAGGAACUCUAUAAUAGAGUUGAGAUAUGCUCUAAUGUAUUCCUUUAAAAUAGCAAUCUCUAAAUGUAUAGUAAAAAAUAGAGGAAUUCUAUUUCUUCUCUAUUAUAGAUGGGUUGAAACAAUUUCACCUCAAAAUAAUUAUAGAAGUGAAAAUAGCUAUGGGUUGGAGAUGCUGAAAUGGAACAAGAAGUCAGAGAGUCGAAAAGUCUGCCAGAGACUUUUGAGUUUCAGACUUUCAGCUGCUGUUCUUUUGUCUCCUAGCUGCCUAAAGAGCAUCUCUCUCUCUCUCUCUCUCUCUCUCUGCCCAAAUCAAAAGGAGGGUUUAAAGUCAACGGCGAGAAGAUGAGUGCUUCAAGGUUAAAGUGUGUCAUCGUCGGUGACGGCGCCGUCGGCAAGACUUGUCUACUCAUUUCCUACACUAGAAACACUUUCCCCACCGUAAGUUCACUUUUUUCUGUGAUCCAAUAAAAUCGUUGGGUAAAACGAUGAGCUGAUCAUUGAAUUUGUUGUGUAGACGUAAAGUUGAUAUUUUUAUCUGGUUGGUUUUGCGUAAUCCCACAACUCCGUUUUACGGAUCAUUAGAAGGUUAGGAGGACAUUUCUCUCUGUGUUUGAUACUUUAGUGAUCUGUAGGAUUGAGAUUGUCUGCUUCAUUACAUAGUCUUACAGUAAACUCUUUGGGUCAAAAAAAAAAAAAAAAAAAAACUCUUUGGGUCUUACAGUUUUUGUCUGUUUCGUAACAUAAUUAGGUUUAAAUUACUAAUCAGAUUUUUUGCUGACUUUCAGCUUAAAACCAGAAAAAGUAAAGAAAUUUUUUCCCUCUCCAAAACACAAGAGACAAUAUUAAGUAUUAACGCUAGAUUUAUUUUUGUUUGUCCCUCUCGCUUUUUUUUUCUGCCCAUUUACCCUUUAUGUAGACUCUGACUGAUGGAAUGUUGUGGUGACAGGGUGAUGUGUCAAAUGUUUUUGAUAAUGUCUGCGCCCAUGUGAUUGUCGAUGGGAGCACCAUCAACUUGGAAUUGUUUGACACUGCAGGCGAGUUAUAGCUUUGAUAUCUAUUUUUUUUUCUUCUUUUGUCUCUUUGUCAAGCUUUCUGUGUUUAUGUUCUGCCUUGUUGAAACAACACAGGACAAGAUGACUACAACAGACUAAGACCAUUAAGCUAUCCAUGUACUGAUGUCUUCUUGCUCGCAUUCUCUCUUGUUAACAAAGCGAGCUAUGAAAAUGUUGCUAAAAAGGUUAAAUAUUAAUCAUCAGUUCUUUGGUAUUUAUCUAGGCAUUUUUUAAUACAAUAAGUUUGAUGUUUUGCUUAUGAUUCCGCAGUGGGUUCCUGAACUCAGACAUCAUGCUCCUGAUGUUCCCAUCGUACUUGUUGGAACAAAGCUCGGUUGGUUAUUUUUUAACCUUUUUUUUUCAUCUGUUAUCCUUCAAAGAGAUUAACAGGUUCUCUUUUAGAUGCUCGAGAUGAUAAGCAGUACUUUCUUGAGCACCCUGAAGCUGUUCCUAUAUCUACUGCUCAGGUAACUUUCGUCAUCGUCUUCUCGCUGAUCUUUUUAUAAGGAAGUUUCUGCUUCUUAGCUUCCCUUAUUCAUUAUAGGGUGAAGAACUAAAGAGGCUUGUUGGAGCUUCUGCUUAUAUAGAAUGCAGUUCAAAGACACAACUGGUACGUCAAAUUCAUCAUAAUUUUUAUUAUUCUCUUUUAAAAUCUUGCUGAUGAGAUAUCUUCUUCAUUCAUACAGAAUGUUAAAGCUGUCUUUGACGAGGCCAUCAAAGUAGUUCUCGAGCCACCCAAUAACAACAACAUUAGUACAUCUCAGAAAGGCUGUUCCAUAUUGUGAUUGGAGAAAAGAAUAAACACGAAUCAACAGUUAGCUAAUCAUUGUUUCCGAGUGCCCAUUUUCUCUUAUUUCCAUUAAAUAAACAAGAAUCUGUUGUUUGUAGUCCUAAAAGCAGAACUCAUCAUUGGUCAAGUAUUUAAACUUUGGGGUUGUAUCUUUGUGUGCACUCUGUAUCUUUAAAUUAUUCCUAAGUGUUUACAUUUGCUUCGAUUCCAUUGGAAAUUAUUCUUCCUAAGUGUUUACGCACAGGCUCGGUGGUGUUGUAACGAGAGAUGGUUGCGGGAAGAGACCAAAGCCUUUUCUUCCACACUACUUGCUUUGCAACGAUUUUGAUUUGCUAGUUGGUAAGCUCAUUUUCAUGGUCCAAUGAACAUGGACUCUAGACAGGAACAAAGGAUACUCUAUUAACGAUUCUUUAUGUUAAAAAUUCUACGAUCUAGUGGGGCAAAAGGAUGCACUAAAAUGGGCAUCUCUUCAACCUCAACUGUUGCUUCUGCUCUAACCUGUGAUCUCGAGGCCAAAGAUCCAAAAUUUUGGAUACGACUAAGGAGGUUUUGAAUCAUCAAAGGAGUAAGAUGACUGCAAGGGAAGAUGUGGCACAAAAUACAAUUAAUCACAUUUUAGGAAAAUUCAAUUAGUUAAUCAUGUUUUAGUAAACUAAACGUGAUAAACAAAUUUCAUUGAUUUGUAUUUUGUGGAAUUAAUUCCAAUUGAAUAGUAUAGGUAGUUUAUGUUGGAACAAUAAAGCCAAUGGGCUUUAUUAAAAUGUGAAUAGCAAAUGAUAUGGAUCUGGGCCAUCAGAAAUGCUAAAUAAAUGAAAUGGUGAAGUGGGGAAAGUCCCACAUCGGCCAGGAGAAGCAAAUUUGAGGUGUUUAUAUAUGAUCCCAUGAUAUCAUGAGUUAAACAGCUUGAGAGAGGAGAAGGCUCCCCACGCACGCGCCGCUGCCGCCCGGCCCGGCCCGGCUUGGUCCGAGGGCCGAGGGCCCGAUAAGAAUUAUUUUUUUUGGACCAAGCUCAACAUGUAGUUCGUUUAAAAACAACACAAAGUUUAUCUGUUCGAAAUGGAUCAGUACGAGUCAACAAGAGAGAAAUUUGCGGAGAAAGCUGCUCAACGUUCCACUCCGAACCAAAGGUCCUUCGUCUAUUUCGAAACUGUUGCGAGAGGCGUGGGCUUGGGCUUGGGUGGAUGGCCUUCGUCUAUUUCCUUAACUUCGCUUUUAUUAUAUCGUUUACAUCAGUCCGGUUUACCGGCUUCUACAGUUUACUUAUAAAAUUUUCAGGACUGGGAGGUUAAAUGACAAAUCAAAAGUUUGGGGAAUAGAAGGUGGAAUUCAAUAGUAGAGGGGUCUCAAGAAAAGUCAACCCAAGAACAAAUAGGAAAAUAAAAUGUAACAAGAAUCCAAGUCAGAGAAUCGACAUCCUAGUCUCUCUCUCUCCCUUUACAAAAAAUCCACUGCUCAAAUCAAAAGUAGGGUCUGAAGUCAACGGCCAAAAGAUGAGUGAUCCAAGGUUUAUAAAGUGUGUCACCGUCGGUGAUGGCGCCACCGGCAAGACCUGUCUACUCAUUUCCUACACUAGCAACACUUUCCCCACCGUGAGUUCACUUUUUGGUUAAUCCCAAAACUUCGUUUUACCGAUCAUUAGAAAGUUAGGAGGACAUUUGUCUCACUGAUGUUACUUUGGUGAUCUAUAGGAUUGAGAUUGUCUGCUUCCAUAACAUACUCAAUUGUUUUUGUGGAAUGUUGUGGUGACAGGAUUAUGUGCCAACUGUAUUUGAUAUUAUCAGCGCUAAUGUGAUUGUCGAUGGGAACUCCAUCAACUUGGGGGUGUGGGACACUGCAGGCAAGUUAUAGUAUAACUUUGAAACCUUUCUUUUGUUCUCGAGUCUCUUUGUCUUUAAACUUUCUGUGUUAAUGCUUUGCCUUAAAUACCAAUAUAGGACAAGCUGACUAUAAUCGACUAAGACGAUUGAACUAUCAUCUUCCUGAUGUCUUUUUGCUCGCAUUCUCUCUCGUCAGCAAAGCUAGCUUUGAAAAUGUUGCUAAAAAGGUUAGAUAUAAAUCAUAUUCUGAGAUAUUAUCUAAGUCAUUUUGAUACAAUAUGUUUUUUUCUCAGUGGGUUCCGGAACUCAGACAUCAUGCUCCUGGUGUUCCCAUAUUCCUUGUUGGGACAAAGCUUGGUUGGUUCUGUUUUUAUUUCAUUUAUUAUCUGUUAAAAGAUAAAAGAGAGUUCUGACUAAUGGAUGCUUUUUCAGAUCUUCGAGAUGAUAAGGAGUACUUGCUUGAGCACCCUGGAGCUGUGCCUAUAUCUACUUCUCAUGUAACUCUCCUCAUCAUCGUUUUCUUUGAAGUAAGUUUCUUCUUCUUAUAUGCUUCCUUUAUUCAUGGUAGGGUGUAGAACUAAUGAAGCUUGUUGGAGCUUUUGCUUAUACAGAAUGCAGUGCAAAGACACAACAGGUAACUACAAAAUUCAACAUCAUUUUUAUAGUUUUCUUUCAGAAUCUUGCUGACGGGAGAACUCGUUCAAUUAUACAGAAUGUUUUUUUUUUUUGGUCAACAAUUAUACAGAAUGUUAAAGCUGUCUUUGAUGUGGCCAUCAAAGUAGUUCUCGAGCUACCCAAAAACAAGAACAAGAAAAACAAAAAAUCUCAGAAAGGCUGUUCUAUAUUGUGAUUGGGAGAAGAAGAAACACGAAUCAACAGUUGACUAAUCCUUGUUUAGAAUCGGUUGUUUGUAGUCCUAAAAAAUGACAUAUCAGAAAACACAUUUGUUAAGUACUGAAACUUCGAGUUUGUAUUCGUUCUUUGCACGCUAAAACUGUAACUACAUGAAUUUAUAUGUUCUUUCACAGACGCUAACUCAAUUCUACUCUAUUAAACUCUAUGCAACUCUAUUCAACCAUAAACGUACACUAACCUUGUUUUGAAAUUGAAGUCCUUUGAUCGAUGAACCUUCCCCGUGUCUCUUUCCAAGCAACAAAAAACGUCUUUGAUCCUCUCUAUCUCACAACGGCAAACACAGAAACAAAAGUUUUUAUCAACAGACUGAAACAAAAUCUAAAUUAAUAAACUACCACCAAGCAUAUCACAAUUAAUCCAACACAACAAACCAAUCAAUCUACAUACGGUAUCGAACUGAACAAACCAAUCAAUAUCGUUACAGAAGAACCACAAUCUCAGACAUCAUUUGUUCAAAAACAUGAAUCAGAAACUUUACCUUUUGAUCAGAGGAGAGCCACCGCAGAGAGCUCCGUCGCCGUCGUAGAGAGCCACCGCGAAACAGAAUCAAACCGACAAAACAAAUCAAACAUGAGAUCAGAACAAGAAGCAGCCUAAUCAAAGACAUGCAUGAAAGAAGAACACAAGAACAAAUGAUUACCUUUCGAUUCGAGUCAAGGCGGAGAGAGAUUGAGACGCGGCAUCGUCGAGGAGAGGGAGAGAGAAGGGUUCUCGUCGAGGAGAGGGAGAGAGACGAGGUGUCAGUCGAGGUGAGAGAGAGAGACGCGGAGUCGUCGAGUGAUCAGCGAUUGAUUCCGCUUGAUUCCGUCGAGAAGAGGGUGAGAUACGACGAGUACACCGACAGCGCCGCCGAUUGAUUCCGUCGACGAGAGAACACCGCUUGAUUCCGUCGACUCGACGCAAGAGAGAGAGAGCACGAGAGAGAGAAGCGGAGUCGACGAUGAAUGACCAAACGAAAGGUUUGGUUUCGUCUCGGGAGAGAAAUGCCAUCAAUGCGUGACACGUGUUAAGAAGAGACGCCUCUUCAAUGUUCCAUUUAAGGGACGUCUUCACCUUAAUUACAUAUUUAUCUUUUAUUUUUAAUCCUAAAAACACUAAACUCCCCCCCCCCCCCNNNNNNNNNNNNNNNNNNNNNNNNNNNNNNNNNNNNNNNNNNNNNNNNNNCCCCCCCCCCUUAAAGACCGCGAUAAUCCUGCUCUAAAGGUUUUCCCAAGCUAGGUGGUGUGUAAGAAGAAGAGAUGGUCGCAAGAAGAGACCAAGAGCCUUCUCUUUCACACUACUUGCUUUUGUGUACUCGUAAACGACUUUGAUUUGCAAGUUGGUAACAGUUCAUUUUCCUGGUCCAAUGAACAUGAACAAGAAGACAAUACCAAAGGAUAUUGUAAUAACGAUUCUCUAUGUUAAAAAUUCGUAUUCUCAGAUUCUUUCUGGAGAAAUUUAACAUGACUCAUUUAAAGACCGUUCAAUAUAUAUAUAGUAGUAUAGUACAUUGCAUCAAGCAUGCAAAGAUCAUUCACUUCAAGGCAAGUCUUCUCUUUCAGAAUCAGAACCAAAGAAUGAUUCUUUCUCCAUUACCGUUAUGGGACAAAGCUGGCGGCCAUAUUGCUUAAACACGUGUAAGACCAUUCAGAGAAUCAGCAAGAGGCUUACGGCUCACGCUUUAAAAACAGGCCACUCGUUCAUUCUAUUCCCUUUCGUGAUUUUGGUAAAUUACUUAAAAUUUAUAUUUACUCUUAUUUCCUUUUCGGAUUUUAUUUAAACUUUUUAUAUUUAUCAUCAUAUAUAUAAGGAUUAGGUUUAGUUUUUGAUUUCCUUUGAAUCAAACAAACACGAUGGCAACGAAACGGAUAUUGAAAGAGCUAAGGGAGUUGCAGAGAGACCCUCCUGUAUUAUGCAGUGCCGGUAAAGAGAAGAACUUUUCAUCGUAGAUAUCUAGUGCACGUAACACUAUAAGCCAUGCACCAAAGUAAUGAUCCAAUAGGAGAUUUGAUUUUUUGUCUCUCUGUCUCCUUUGUUUUUGAUAUUCAGGUCCAAUAGGAGAAGAUAUGUUUCACUGGCAAGCUACGAUAAUUGGUCCGAUCGAAAGUCCAUACACGGGUGGUGUUUUCCUUGUCGAUAUCAAUUUCACUAAAGAUUAUCCUUUUAAACCUCCCAAGGUGUAUAUAUAACUUCAACAAUACGCAACUCUAUAAAUAGUCUCUUCCCUAGGGCUCAAAACAAAAACCAUCAUGAUUGGAUUGUUGUUGUUAUGUUUUUGGUUGAUGAUUUCAGGUUGUAUUCAAAACCAAAGUCUUUCACCCGAACGUCAACAGCAAUGGAAGCAUAUGUUUGGACAUUCUCAAAGACCAAUGGAGCCCUGCCCUUACAAUCUCUAAGGUUUGUUUGAAAUCAUUUAAAUUAAAUCAUUUUUAAGAUUAUAUACCAAGAUGAUUUUGGCUCCAUUGCAUAGAUAGCACAAGUUACUCAACAUAUUUGGUAUUGCAGGUGCUUCUUUCUGUUUGCUCUCUUCUUACAGACCCAAACCCUGACGAUCCUCUGGUUCCAGAGAUAGCUAACAUUUACAAGACCGAUAGGGUCAGGUAUGAAGCCACGGCUCGAAGCUGGACCCAGAAGUAUGCGUCGCAAUAAAACUCAAGACUCCAAGUUAACCUUUCUUCAUUCUUAUGCAAAAUGUCUACAACUUGUCCUUUUUCUUCUUCUUUUGCGUUUGGUCUUAUUAUAAAACAAUAAAGUAGAAUAUUAUUGGCGGUCUCUAUUUCUCCUUGCUUUGUUUUAAAAUUAAUUAGUGUCACUACUACAUGGGCAAUUCUUCUAAAUAGAUCAUUUUCAAGUUUUUAUCAUAAAAAUAGAUUACAAGGAGAAAAAUAAUCAAAAUGUUUCAUUUAAUAGGUAAAAAAGACUUUAAUACCAUAGAUAUAUAAAUACAAAUAAAUAAAUAAAUAAGUUUUAUAGUUUCAGAUUAUAUGUUUUCAAAUUCAAAUUUUUUUAUAAUUUUUUUUUGAAAUUUUUUUUUGUAAUUCGAAAUACUUUUUGAAACUAUUUUCAAAUUUUUAUUUUUAAUAAUUAUUUUUAAUUUUAUAAAAUUUUAAAACUUAAUCCCAAAUUCCGCCACUUAACUCUAAACCCUAAGGUUUGGAUUAGUUAACCCUAGGGUUCCGGUAUAAAUGUAUAUUUGUCUUUUUAAUAAAAUAUUUUGGUCAUUUUAAUUCUUAGAGCAUUCUUAACGGUGAGUAUAUUGCGACAAGUAUCUAAGAUCUAUAAUUUUAUUACAACUUAAUUAAUAAAUAAAAUAUAAAUCUCCAAAAGAGCUAAGCCAAUCAUAGAAUAACAGAUAUACAGACAGUAUGUAAGUUUUUUUUUGUUGAGAUCCUAGGCAGAGGACCAUUCCUUCCCUUCUCUCUACCUUUUUCUCACACAUUCAUUUAUUUUACUAUUUAAAAGGUUCAGAUAUCUAUCUAAUAAACAUGCGUUGAGGUUGCCUUAGAAUCUAUAUUUCUGACAAAAGUCUUUUUUAGUGCUAUCCUAGGAUAUUUUCUGACUAUAUUUGAUAUCGAUUUUGAUUCAUGCCUCUAUUUUUUGUAUUAGUUUAAUGGCAUUCAAGCUGAAUUUGAUUAUUUGCUUCUUGGUGGUUGAGCAAUCUCAUCCCCCCAUAUAUUAAAUCUUGGAGCAUUACAAUAUAUUUUCGUAGUCACGUGUCAUCACAAGAAUGAUUUUUAGAAUUGUUAGAAAAAUAAGUUGGUCCAUAUAAACAUAUAAUAUGCUUUGCAUUAAACUAACUAUCAAAUUAAUUAAUAGUGUACAAAAGAAUAUUUUUUCUUUCCUUAAAUAAAAGCUACAGAAUUACCUAAUACAGUUAACAUAUAUAUGACAAUUAAUUAUUAUGAAUAAUAAAUAUUUGAUAUAAAAAAUUCUAACAUCUCUCUUUUUUUUAUUACUUUUAUAAUAUUAAAAGAAAUUAAACAAUCACAUUAAGCAUACAAUAAAAAAAAUUAGAUUUUUUCAUUGAAAAUUUUGUGAUCAAUAAUUUAAAUUUUUUAGUUCAAAUAAGAUACAAAUGAUAAUAAAUCAUAGGGGUGAGUGUUCGGAUACAGUUCGGGGUUGUAUCGGAUAUUUCUGUAUAAAGUUAUAGAACUUGUUCAGGUAUUUCUACACUUCGAGUCGGGUUCGGUAUUUUAUGUUUGGGUUUGGAUAUUUUGGAUCGGGUUCGGAUAUUUAAAUUUUGAAGAAAAAGUAAAUAAAUUAUUCAUUGUUUAAGUUUUUUUUAUUUAAAAUAUAUUUUAGCCUAAUUGGUUUUCUAAUUUUUAAAAGAUUAAACUAUUAAUAGGUUUGGAGAUAAAACUUUAAAAAUAGAAAAACACUAGUUUAGUUGUUGUUUUGAAAUUUUAGAUUCAACUUUUGUCAAUGCAAGAAACAAGAGCAUGAUAUGUUUUUUAAGUGAGUAACAAAUAAUUUUGUCCAUAAUUAUAUGUAUAAUAUCUAAUUUUGAGCAAUAAGCAUCAUUAAUAUAAAUAUUUUGAAUAAAAUGAGAGAAAUAAACUAGAAAUUUUUAAGUAUACUUAUGUUUGGUUAUUUUCAGAUAUCCUGAUAUUACCCGAACUGGUGAAGUAAGUAAAACUUUUGUUGUUUUAAUUAGAUAAUUUUUAGACCGAGAUGGUGAAUAUAUACUAGACAUACAUUUAUAUUUCGAGUCUACACGUAUAUUUUACAACAGCUUGAUAUAUUAGAUUUGAACACUAACCUGUUAAUAUAGUUUGCAGGUGAUUUUUUUUCAAAAUUUUGAUUCUUAGAUAUAUAUAUGAAGUGAAACUAAUUUUUACAGAUGUCCAUUUUUUUUUAGUUGACACUUAUGUAAUUCACCGGAUUCAUAAAAGAAGUUAAAAAGAAACUUAACUCAUAUCAAUAAAACAAAGACAAUAAUGAAAACACAAUUCUAUAGAAGUAGAAAGUGAAAUCACUUAUGGAGAGUCAAUAGUAAACAAUUCGAGAGCAGAAAACCUAAUCCUCUUUCGUCAUUAUACAAUCGAUGUUGCAUAUUUAGUUUUGGUGAUUUGUGUCAGCUGCAAAACUUAAUUUUUUUUUUGUGUAUAUGAAGUCUUAAAAAAAAUUAAAAUGAGAUGUAAUACGUAAAAUCUUCAACAACGAUGAUAUAUUUAAGAGACCAACAUUUGUAUUCGUCAUUUUAUACUGGAUAAAGAUUGUAGUGCUGCAAAAUAUUAAAACAAUUUCAUAAACAAACAUUGUUAUAAGAACUAACUCCGCGCAUGCGCGCGGGUUAUCAUCUAGUUCUUUUUUAUAACAGAAAUAAUAGAUCAGAGCUCGUAUGUGUUGCAGUAUUCAUGAUAAGUUUUGCGGUUUUAUAUGUUUUACACGUUCAGAUAUCAUUGUCUAUAUUAGAAAGUGCGCAAAAACUAUAUAUUUCAAAAGUAUCUUUCAAUUAUCUUGGAUGAAUUUCCACAGUGCCGAGUCUAGUCCACCCCAUGGCUGUAAAACCUAGAGCAGUGGUAAAAUGAAAGAUUGUGACUCGAAUCAAUAUCACCAACGAUGAUUUUCUAUUAGCAGUUACAUGAACAAUCUUACAAGAUAUGUUCAAUCAGUUUUAUAUGACAACACACUUGUGAUUCACCAUUACUGACUUAUUCUUAAUUAUCCAAAAAUACCCUACACAGCAAUCGUCUCGCACAAGAUAACUCAUACACCAAAAUCAUAAACCUAGUCUUCUUGCAUGUUCUCUUACUCUCUUUAUUUCGGUUUACCUAAUUUUCAUUAGGUUCAUUCUACUUUUAUGCCUCCAAAUUUUCUUUAUUCUACGGAGAUCCAACCUUUUUUAUUGGUGCCACACCAUCUUCUCAAAAGGCAAGUUUCCUCUUAUUACUUGUGCCACAUAUAAUCUACAAGAGACUCCACAAUCCUCAUGUCAGUUUCCUUUUCUUGGGCAGAUACAUGGAACUUUCUCCACGACAUCAAACUAUAUUCUUGGUGCAUGGUAACUCAGCCUUAAGUAUCGGUUUCAGUGUCAACGUGUUGUACGUAUAUCCCUCAAGAUGGUAUUUUCUUUUCCCAAACGCCAAGGUACUCAAAUAUGCAUGCAACAUCAACAUUUAUUUUCAGGAGAUGAUCCAUUCAUUCACAAGGAAUUGACUUGUUUCCUUCUUAGAGAUGUCAAUUUAAGUCCCACAUCAGAAAUUAGACAAGAUAAAGUCUAACAUAUAAAGAAGUGUCAAGCUCUAAUUAGUAUAGGCUCUUUGUGAAAGAAACUAAAAAUAAAUCCAUACGGGUUUGCUUCUGAACAGGCUUACCCUGAUGCGUGUAUAACUUUAAUUAGUACGAAACUUUUAGUUUUGGAAAGAAACCAAAAGUAAAUCCAUGUAGGCUGAUUUCUGAAACCCAUAGUGGACGAUGUUGUACUAAUCGGACAAUGUAGAAUUGGACAUAAGUUUUUACAAACCCAACACGUUCUUCUAUUGAUAUGAACAAAUACGAGUUUGUUAAAAAAAACAAAAAUUGGUGCCUAAAACUUUAAACACAUCAGCGAUCUCAAACGCAAAUUUGAUUAUCUGCUAAUAUCAGAUUUGGUUCUGAUUAUAUUCAUAGUUACGUUAUAUAAGCAGAGAAUUGUUAUGAACCCUGGUGUAGCCAAAAGUAAGUAGUGUAUCUAGUUUCGAAUUUUGAGAAUCUUAAGAUCAUAUAUGUACUUGAGUUUAAUUUGUGACAGGUUUUAAACUAGUAUUACUUUAAAAAAAAUCUAGAUAUUUUACUGGUAGAGCCGAUGUUACAAACAAUUUCAGAGCGUAAGAAAUUGGAGCAAUCCUGGUCACGGUCCACCGUCCACAGAACAUAGCAAAAAGCUAAUGGAAAACUAUCGAAUAAGAUAAUUUUCCACUAACCAGAGACCACAGAUCAAGAACCUAGAAUCAAAUCUAAGGGUUAUUUUAGAUAAAGCUUUUUUUGACAAAGCUACUUCUUUCACGAUCACUGGUUCACAUCACACAUGUUAAUAUAAUUUUUAAAGAAAAGGAAAAAGGGAAAUAUAGUCGAUGGUGACUGGGGAUCUAUUUAUCUAACUUUUGAUGGAAUCAAAAUAUAUGUUAUUUUAUAGUGUAAAAUCUGAUGGUCUGAAAUUAACGAUGAAAAUUCUACAAUGUUGUGCUUUCUUUUUGUCGUGUCAGGAACUGUUGAAGCAUUAAGUCGUUUCACGGAAGUCACUGACAUGGUGAAAAUGAUUUCAACGAUUGAGCAAUUGAUUAGUGUUUUCAUUCAAUUUCAAUUCAAGUUUAAAGAAUUUGAUCAAGAAUAUAUCAUGCAAAGAAUACAAUUCUUUUUUUGACUAAAAAAGAAUACAAUUCUUGCUCUACAAACAGGACUAAUGGUUAUAAUUAGUAUGAUAUGUUUUUGUGAUAAAUAUUUAUAUUGCUUUUUGUUAUUAAUUUGACAAACUAAAUCAUUUUAGAUAAUUCUUAUAUUUUUUAAAUUGUUAUACAAAAAUUGUAGUGAGAACUGAGAACCUUUUGCAAACUCCACACAUGUUUUGGUUGUAUAAUGGAGUUAAAAGGUGGAAAACAAAAGUGGAAAUAAGAUUGAAGAAAAAUAGUAUCGUUAGGUAAAUUUCUUUAUUUCAUUCGAGUUGUGGAAAAUUUUACUUUAUUUUUUUAUUUGUAUUUUCACUUUUAGAGUAAACGGGUAAAACUGAUUUUCUACACUCACUAUCUUAUUUGUUGAAAUUAGAGAAAAUCAGAUGAAAUUUUUUUUCACUUAUUUCAUUUACUCUAAAUAUACUAAACAGUGAGAUCCGUUGCAUGUUGAGUGUUAUGAUUUGUUGAAAGAUAGUUCAGAUAUCUAAACAAUUUCUUCCUCGAUGGUAAACACAAUGAAAGAAAAGACACAAUUAUUACUUUUUUUAAAGAUACAAUUAUUUAAUGAUGCAAUAUGAUAUUAAAAUAUAAGUUUAGAAAAAUGAAAAAUUACUAAAAAAUGGAAAAGUAAUUAAUACAUUAGUCCAACGGAUAUAUUACACUGUCUUAUAUAAUAUGAGCAUAAAUUGUAAAAUUAUGCAUCAAAAUAAUAAUAGAAAUAAAAGAGUUAAUUAAACUGGUGGUUUUAUCCUUAAUUUGACACUAAUAAUUGUUUAAGGGUAAAUUUUCUAAAUAUCCAGUUCCCUAUAGAUCCCAAAAAUCAAAAUAACCAAUUUAAAUUUCAUUAAAGGGUUAAAUGAUAUCUAUAUUUUAAUUUAUACAUUAACUAAGAUAUUUAUUAGUAUAUAAAAACAAAUAAAUAUUGAAAAAUUUAAAAUAAUAAAUUCGAAAUACUUUAUUUUAAAAUUAUUUUCGAAAUAUUUUUUAAAUAAAAAUUCAAUUUAUUUUUGAAAAAUAUUUCCUGCAAAAAAUUUGGGCUAGGAAAAAUUCUUGAAUAUUGAUGAUACCUUCUUGAAUUUAUAAAUUUAUUUUUUGAAUUCAGAAAAAUCUUCAUAAACGUGUAAUUAAAACCUUUUAAAUAUAGUUUAUAUGUAUAUUUAGGAAAGUCUUUCUAAAUGUGUAUGACAUCUUCUUCAAUUUUACAUAUAUGCAUAUUUAAUAUGUGUAAUAUUCUUAUAAAAUUCAAAAAUCAAAUUGAAGAAGGUCUUCCUAGAACUUUAAGAAAAUAUUAUACAUAUUCAAGAAUAUCUUACUAAAUAUAUAUAUAUAUAUAUAAUUAAAAUUCAGUAAAUUAUAAUAAAUAUAUAGUCUUGAAGAUUUUCUUAGAUAUAGAUUUCAUAAUAUAUUUUUAAUACACAUUUAUGAAUAUUUUGUUAAAUUUUAUGAAGAUAUUAUGCAUAUUUAUCAGUAUCUUCUUAAAUUUUAAGAUAUAUUAUAUUUAUUCAAUAAUAUGAAUUUUUUUAAUGUAAUAUUUUAAAAAUCAUUAAUUUUGUUUAAUAUAUCGGUAGGAAAUGGUAUAUGUGUGACAACUAGUCGGCAAAUCGAUUUUGGGUGAGAAAAAAUUAUAGAAUUUUUUAUUUAUUGAAAAAUUAGUUUAAAUGUUAAAAACUUGACAUUAAAAAGUUGAUUUAGGUAUCCGCAUAAGCAAUAAUCAUUAAAAGGCAACCAUGGCCUAACAACUUUUUUAAACAUUAUCUUGACUUUUUUUGAUGAAAUUUUAAAUUUAUUGAUCAUUGCAACAAAAAAAAUAUGUACAAUCCUAUUUGUUUACUUGUUAAUAGUUUAAAAGAAUAGGAGAUUUAAAAAAGCAGCAUAAUUAUCUUGACUUUUGUAGAUUAUAAGGUAGGUAGUAUUGCCGGUUGUUAAAUCGUCUAUGUAAUAACUUUCAUAAUUGUAACGUUAUAAUAAAUCAGCUUAAAAAAACAGCAUCAUUAUCUUGACUUUUGUAGACUAUAGAGCUAUUUGAUGUCAUUUCAAAUUGUGUUUAUUUAUGUUUAUGGUAGUCGAAUUCAACACACAAAUUGUUUUAAUUUCGGUAUGAAUGUAAAAUUUAACCAUUCACCAAUAUACAGUAAGAAAAAACAUUGUUGACUGCUAUUACUUAAAAAAAAUAAGGAAUCUCUGGAAAUCGAAAUCUCUUUUGGUACGUCCAUGUCUCUCCGCCAUGGAAAUAAAGCCAUCUGUUAUCAUCAUUGUCUCCGUCUCCUCUCUAGGUUUUCCUUUUCUAAUUCUCCCCUCUUUCUCUCUUUAAACUCCUCUCCCCGAUUCGCCGCCGAUUCUCCUCCACUUCUCGUGACCCAAUUCACCUGUUUCCGAGCUUCUAGGGUCAUAAAGGUACGAACUUUCUCCCAAUUCAGUAUCACCCGAUGAUUCAAAAUCCAUAAUCGGAUCUCAGUUGCAUCAGGUCUUUACUCGAUCGACAAAAGCUCGAGUCUUUGUUCGGUUCCUGUAACAAUGGACGACGGCGAGGUUGAGUUUCCACUAAGCAGCUCCUCGAUGGACUCUUUCUUCGACGAGCUUCUCCGGGACUCUCACGCUUGUACCCACACUCACACUUGCAACCCUCCUGGACCCGAGAACACCCAUACCCACACCUGUCUCCACGUCCACACCAAGAUCCUCCCCGCUAAGGCCGACGACACCUCGGAGUCUUCAGGGAGCAAGAGCAAGAAGACGCCCUUGGGGAACAGGGAAGCCGUUAGAAAGUACAGAGAGAAGAAGAAGGCUAAAGCUGCUUCCUUGGAGGAUGAAGUCAUCAGGCUCAGGGCUGUGAAUAGUCAGCUGAUGAAGAGGCUGCAAGGCCAAGCUGCCUUGGAGGCUGAGGUUACGAGGCUCAAGUGUUUGCUUGUGGAUAUAAGAGGGAGGAUCGAAGGAGAGAUUGGUGCUUUCCCUUAUCAGAAACGCGCGGUUCCCAACUCGUAUAUGAUGCAGCCUUGCAAUAAUGUGCCGUGCGGUGUUGACAACAGCUUGUACUGCUUUCAGGAUGGGGAUGGUGGAGAAGGUGCGUUGAUGAAUGGGCAAGGUAUGAAUGGUUGUGAGUUUGACCAGCUUCAGUGCUUGGGUGGUGAUCAGGAUUUAGCUGGGUGUAGUAAUGGAAAUGGAACGUUCGGUGUCAAUGCAUCCGGGGUUGGUAAUAAGAGAAAACGUGAGACUCUGUCAUCAUGUCUUUUGAGCUUUUGUUUUGUGUGGAUUUAGUUUGUGAACUCAUGGUGUUUGCUCUUGUUUUUUUGCAACAGGUGGGACUCCUGCAGCUAAAGCAGUUUGAAGUAUCACCACCGGUCAUGUGGUGCUGCUCUCCAUUUUCACAAGGCUUGUAGUUAAAUUAUCUUCCAAUAAGUAGUAGAGUUGAACUGCAUCACCAGCUUGUCUCGGGUCCUUUUGUGCUAUUUUUCAUUUUUUGAAUCUCUCUUUUUGUGUUUCUUAUGUAAUUGCAUUUCUUUGUUGAAGCUAGAAGUAAGACUUGUUUAUAUUAAAUUCGAAUUAUGUACUUUAAUAGCUUCGUUCUUGAAGCUUUGAUGGAAGAUGUUCAAUAUUGCAUUUGGGGACGAUUAUUUUGAUCAGUCUUGUAGAGAUGCGGAAACUGGAACAAAAAUUAUAAUGAUUCUUUAAUCCUCUUGCUUACUAUUGUAUGUUCAGUAGUAACACAGGAACUCAAACUUCACUUACAAGUAAAGUAACGGAGAGACCAGAUCAUUUCCUAAUUUCGUUGCUGUUAUGUAGUUUAUCCUUGUUUGAUAUCCUCAUCGUUCUCAGCUUCAUCUUGGUCUCGAUAGAUGUUUUCCGUCAUUUGCCAGACCUGAAGACUGUCGUCUUCUGCUACAUUUGCAAUGACCCAAGGCUCCUUUUCGUUCCAAGCAAAAUCUGAUAUCUUAGCCUUGUGGCCUACAUGAGAGAAGAGUAACUCUGGUGGACCGUCUUCAACAGCAUCUAACUCUAUCUCAAGCUGCUCUUCUUACUCAACGUUGAGCAAUCUUCAGAAUAAAAAAGUCCAUAUUUAGAGUUCUGCAAAAAAGGUGAGUGUACCUGUUCAGGUCCCAGACCAUCAGCCUUCUGUCUUCACCGGAAGAUGCAAGCACCGUUACAUGGCUAAGAUCCCACUACACUUGGAAUGCUUCUCCCCUGUAAUCCAAAUCUUUGUUUUAAGUGGUUGGCUACUUGGCUGCUCAAGACGUGCAAUGGUACAUUCAGCUUCCAUAGGUCAAACAAGGCAACCGUUGAGUCUUAGGAAGCUGUGGAACAGGACAUGCAAGCUUGAAAUAUCAGUCCUCUCCUCAGUCAUUAGAUAUAUUCAGAAAUGGUUCUUACCUCUUUCUCGUGAAUUUUCACUUGGUGUUGCAUUUGGUUUGUUCGUGUGUCCCGUAUCACCAAACCGAUAAUCAUCAUCCGUUUAAAUUAUUUUUUAAAAAUUAAAAUUUAUAUAUACUUUAAAUUUUUUUAAAAAUCUAAAUAAAAUAAAAUAUUACAUACGAAUAAUGUUUGCCAAAAUAUUUAAACUUACAUAAAUAUUGGUUUAGCUUAAAUAUUUGGAUCGGAACCUUGAUUGACAGAGCGGAUGAUAAAACAAUAUUAUACUGCUUAUAAGCAGUAUGCUACAUAAGUUGUAUGCUACAUAAGUUGUAUUCUCUUACUAAACUAUUAAAUAGAAUGAUUGGUAAAGUAAAAUGAACAUUAUUAUAAAAAGUAGUAUACAAUAUAUAAUAUAUUUGUUUCUACUGAAUAUAUUUCUAAUAUAUAUAUAUAUAUAAUUAAUUUAUUUUAUUUAAUAAUGUCAAAAAUUAUAUUUAUAUCAAAAAAUGUUAUUAUAAAAAUAUAUUUUACAAUUAAAUAAUAUAUUUUUAAGAUAUACUUUAAUUGUGAAAUUUAUUUUAAAAAUAUAAAUUUUAUUUUUUGGAUAUAAAAAUAAUUUUAUCAUAUUAUUAAAUAAAACAAAUGAAUUAGUUAUAUAUUUUUUCUUAAACUAUAAAUGCAAAUGUUCUACUAAAUACUCCAUAUGAAAGCAUUGAUCAAAGAGCAUUUAAAAAACAUUAGCAUUUGGUAAAUGUUUUUCCAACAAAUAUUGAUUGAAAUAAUGUAGAGCAUAAUUCUUAUGCUAAUGCUCUACUAAGCAAGGCAUGUCAAUGUACAUUAAUAAUUUAGCCUCACGGUGAGUUGAAAGUCAUCAUUUAUUCCAGUAUUUUUGUGACUAGGAAGAUUAAAAUUUAUCUAUGUGUCAUGUAUUCCACAAUACGAGAGUCUUUUUUCAAGUUAAAAAAUUUAACGUAUUAACUAUAUAAUCAAAUCACAUAAUAUUUUAUAACAAGGUGAUUCUGAGAUUUAUAUCUUUUGAUGGGUUAGUCUAUCUUAGCAGGACUUUGCAUACCCGACGAUUGAACCGGUUAGCAUGUGAAAACUUUUUGAUCUAUAUGUUAAAGUAAAUAACCAUUGAACCAGAAACUAAGUAAGUCCGAUUACAAUUCUGGAAUCUAAAUUAAUGUCCAAUCAAUUUCUAUCAAAACAUAUACAUUACAUACAAAUGAUGAUGAAAUGUACAUGUAAGCUAAACAAAAUGCACGUACAAAUGAUGAUGAAAUGUACAUGUAAGCUAAACAAAAUGCAAUAGUAUCAUCACAUAACAUGUAAGUUAUACAAUAGGUAGGUGAUAACGCUAACUAAACUUUGUUAGUUAUUCAUGAACUAACAAAUAUUAGGUACAAUAGUUUGUUUAAGUAUCGAUAUUUUAAUCCACCAUACAUCACUUGAACUAAAUAAAUUAUGAAGUUGGACAGAAUGUGCUUUGAUCCUACUUGUAUGUAGGCUGAUAGUUAACUCUUAGUUGUUAUUAUGCUGAUAUAUCAUAAGAUGAAGCUAACUCUGUCUAAUAUGCUAUGGGAAACAUUUUCUAUGUAGGUUUUCAAAUGAAUAUUUUUUUAUCCCACUUAGAUAACUUAAAUGAUUGACAUUAUAUUAUGAAGAUGACCACGAGAUGAUACUUAUUUGUAUGCUUAGCUGAUAUAUGAUAAAAAUGAUACUAACUCUAACUAAUAUUAUUAUUUUUUAUUUUAUGUAGGUUUUUGACCGAUUUAUCAUACCAAAGUAUUUUUUUUCACGCUUCACGUACUAUUGAUUUUCCAUAUGAUAACAAACAUUAUAACCUUUUGAAAACCAAACGUGAAUUGAAAUUAUAUCUUUAAUAUAUUAGUUUAGGUGAUGUACCGGGAAUAGAUCGAUGCUUGAGAAUAAAAUAUAAGGAACAACAAACAUUAAUGGUCCAUAGUGACAAUCUUAAUUAUUAUUACUCUCGUAAUUUAUGCCCUUUUUAUAGAGUCUGUAACAGGGGUGGGCAUUUUACCCGAUAUCCGAAGUGGCACCCGAACCCGAUCCGAAAAACUCGAACCGAAAUCCGAACCGAAGUAACAAAAUACCCGACGGGUAUUGAAUAAGGAGAGAUUGGAUAUCCGAACCGAACGGAUAAUACCCGAACCCGAAUGGAUAUCCGAAGAUAACCGAACAUAUGUAUAGUUAACCUUAUAUUUCUAGUUUACAUCUCUCAUUUUAUAUAAAAUAUUUAUAUUGAUACUACACAUACUUUAAGUUCAUAUGAUAUAAAUACAAUUAAGGAAAAAAAUGAUUUGCUACUCACUUAAAAUGCAUGUCAAGUUUUUUAUUUCAAAAAUUAACAAAAAGUUACAUCCAAAAUUUGAAGAAGAAUAACUAAAUUAAUGUCUUUUUAGUUUUAAAAUGUUAUGUCCAAAUAUAUUAACCAUUCAAUCUAUUAAAAAUAAAAAAUUAGUUAACUGAAAGUUAUAUUUUUAAAUACAAGAAACUUGAGAAAUAAAAAAUUUAAUUUUUUUUAAAAAAAAUCUAAAUAUCCGAACCCGAUCCGAAAUAACCGAAUCCGAACUAAAAAUACCCGAACCCGACCCGAAGUACAAAAACACCCGAACGGAUUCUACACCUCUAUACCGAAAUACCCGAAAGUCCGAAAUACCCGACCCGAACCCGAACGGAUAUCCGAACGCCCACCCCGAAAGGUUAUUGGCUAAAAUUUAUUGUUGAUGUUUAAAUAAGUGAUAAAAUGUUUAACUACCACGUAAUAUAGACAACAGUUAAGUGUAGAUGUGUAUUUCCUUCAGAUGAUGCUCACAUUAAGAUAAUUUAAGAAAUAGAUAAUUUGAAUUGUUAACAAUUACUCUUCUUCUCUUACCAAUAUGGUUGAAACUCACAUAUAUAAAUAAUUCGGAACGUAGCAUGGACCAACUCCUAGUCUUAAUAAAAUAUUUAGGGGGUAUUAGUGAAAAUAAGAUUUAUAUUGAGUUUGUUAAUUUGAAAGAUCAGAGAUUUUUAAAAUUUGAAAACAAUUGUAAAGAGUUUUGUAUAUUGUGAAAGUCUAUGAAAAUAAAUUGAUAUAAUGAUUCUAAGGAUCUUAGGUAUAUAAGUAGUAUUCUCAAAAUCUUGUGUUAUGAGUUAAAUGAUGGAGAAUACAACUGGCAAUAACACCUACUUUAAUAGAUUUAAAAAAAUCAUUAAAAUUUAAAAAUUUUAAAUUAGAAAAAAUUGUGUAUAGAAUUACUAAAUCAUCAAACCAAUAACACUAGGUUUUAAUGAAAAUGUAUAAACCAAUAAUAUUAGAUUGUAGAAAUUCUAACAAUCUCAUAAAUCAAACUUCCACUAACACCCCCCCCUUAAACUCAAUCGCUGAAUAACAGUAGUUUGUAAAUCAUAUAGAAUUAAAUUUAAAUUUGUUAUUGAAUAACACCUUUUUUUUGUUCACCUUUUGAAUAAGAAGUCUAAGAUAAUAUUCCAUAAACUACUUCAAUAUUUUCUAAAACUUCACCAUAAAUCUCAGCAAAUAUAAUAGUAUAAAAUGUUGCAAAUCUUCUUCAGAUAUUUCAAAUCAUAAAAGUUUAAUUGGUGACCACUUAUUGAAUGGAAUAAAUAGAAAAAAAUGUUGAACAAAAAUUCAUUUGAAGAAAUGAAUUGAAAAAAAAAUUUUGAAAAGAGAGGAACAGACUCUCCACAUCAAAAUUAGACAAGAAAAAUAUUUUUUCAUUAGUUCAAUUAUAUAUGAGGAAAAGUGAGGAAUAAAAUGGGGCCCACAUGUUACUAGUUUGCAAAAAAAAAAUUCAACUUAACUGGUAUUAAUUCUAAAGAAUAGCAAAUUCAUCAUAUUUGUUUCAUAAAACAUGGUCACUAAUUGCAGCUAAAAUCUUACAUAUUUAGUAAAAAAAAUCUUCUGAAACUUCACCAUAAAUCUCAGAAAAUAGUAUAAAUCUUACAUAAUUAGUAAAGAAUCUUGCAACUUCUUCAGAUAUUCCAAAUCAUAAAAUUUUCUCAAAUAUAAAACCCGAUAAACUACUUUAAAUGCUUAGUCUAAUAUAUCUCCAAGGUUGCUACAUGUCAAUGUUUGCUAAUAAUAUAGAUUUAUGGUAAGUCAAUACAUAAAAGAUUAUAGCUAUAAUAUUUUAUGUAUAUCCGCAAUCAAAACUUCAAUAUUUUAUGGUCAAAUCAUAUAAUAUAAUUUGAUCACCUAAAUUGUACUAUAAAAACAAAUGAGGUGUAGUCUUCAAACUCACAACUGAAAAAAAAACAAAAAAAUAUUUACUUAGGAAAAUGAAAACUGUUUCUUUUAAACUUUUGCUUUUGCUUUUGAUAUCUACCCUUCUCGUCACCGUUAGUAAGUAAACAUGUCAUACUAACAAUAGGAUCUCCCAAAACCACCAGAAUUAUAUAUCUCUCUGUAUCAGUGAUUGAGCUUGUAGCAAGAUCAUUCAUGUACCAAAGGCCUAGAAUAUGAUUGCAGAUGCUCUAGCCAGGAUUGCUUGCGCUUUUUUAUAGAAAUCUAGUUUUUGUUAAUUAUUUUAUUCCGGUCUGGAUUUUCAGACUACUGCUCGAGUGAUAAUACAAACUUUUGAUGUUAAAAAAUGAUUGACCUUGUAAAUUCGAAUGAAAUUACUCAUUCUGAAUUAGUUUUUGGUUUGUUUAUUUAUAUUUCAGUAAUUUUAUUUCUAAUAUCAUUUUUGUAUAUUUUGUGUUUUAAGGAGGAUAUGUCAAAUGUGAAACAACCGAUGAAUGCAUGGACGCAUGUAGAUGCGAAGAUGCAUUUUGUGACCUUCAUAGGUGCUACUUUGGGAAAAAAGCUAGGAAUAAAAUUAAUGUUAAUUCUUCAAGAAACAAUUAUCUUGCAGAAAAUAAAAGACGUGGUGGUGGUAGUGGAGGACCUCCACCUACCAAUUAAAAUGAUAAAAGUGUCUUUAUAUGUGUAACAAUAAAACUUAUUUGCUGAAUAAAAAUACAAAUUCGUUAAAGAACUUUGAUUUAUUAAUAUGUUGAUCCUCAUAGGUUAAUGAACUUUUAAUUAUAAACCAAGAUCUAUCUUCUCGUGUAAAGGUUUAUCUACUGUCAUAGCUACUAAUACUCGAGCUGUCCAAUCUAACACAACAUUCAAUGGAGAUUCUUCGAUGAUCCUAUGACAUUUUCUGUAAUAUAUCCGCCAUUAGACCGUUUCAAUUUUUAACAAAUGUGUUCCAUCACAAAUAUAUUUGUAACAUAAAUACUUACCAAACACAUGAAUACCAAUUUCUCCAUAUCUCUUUUCUCUAUUCUUCAUUCUGAUUAACAUUUCUCAAGUGACUCAAUAACGAACAGAAGAAGUUAUGCUGUCAAUCUCUAUUGAGAACAUUCAAUUCAAUCACAUGGAGAAUUCCAAAAAUACUGAAUCAGCAGACAGGGUUGUCAAACUCCCUACUCAUAAAACUCAACAAACCAAACCAUAACUAGUCAAAGGUAACCCAUCAAUUGAAUCUCCAAGGAAGGUUCCAUGAUCUACAUCAGCUAAUACCAAAUAAACUCUUUCAGAUUUUGUAUAUGUCUCCACUAAUGCAGAAUCACAAUUGCUUGAAGGUAGUGCAAAGCGAUAAGGUUUUUCCUUUUUAAUUAGCAUUAGCAAGUACGUUUAAAGUUAUUCUGAAGGUGAAGAAUCAAACUCAGAAGCUUCUGAUUCUGAGCUAGAACAAGAAUCCGAGAAGGUGGAUUUGAUGACACACCUCUAGGAAAAAAAAAUUCUCAGAGAGCGACCACUCAAAGCUUCUGCAAAAGCAAAUGAAAUGUUUCUACAAAAUAUAGGUCAGGGGAGCAUGGUGGACAAGGCUGUGAUAACUCAGGUGGCUAUGGAGAUCGUGGCCGUAGAAACCGAGGAGUCAUGGUUAAGUUCUCUUAGAGAAUCUCCAAUAAUACACAAAACUUUACUCCAUAUGUCUCUCUUCUUAAGCUAUCCAGCUCAUCGUAUAGCAUAGGGCAUUUUGUGACACGUCAGCAUACAAAUCGACCAAUAAAAAAAAGUUAUUUCGACACGUCAGAUAACCAAACCUCUCGCUGUAUUUCUUCCUCAACCUUCGUAGCUUACUGAGAAAUUGAAAAGUCAAGAGCCUUAAAUUUCUGCUCCACUCACUCAAUAACUUUGCAUUUAUAAGAUCCGAAACACAAAUCUGGAAUCACUGUUCGGCUUCUCCUCCUCUCCCACUUUUUAUAUCAUCAUCUAAAUCCGCUCUAACCUAAAGCCACAGUGUCAUCUAGAGAUUCCAAAUCAAGCAUCCUCAUCUCUGCACGAGUCACAACUAUAGCCGCCUCACUAUGGUUUCAACUGAAGUCUUUUUUUUUUUUUUUUUUUUUUUGAUUAACCUGGGAUAUCCCAGGCCCAUGGAGAGGCCCAGACUAAUCCCCAAGGGGAGGUGCAGCCCACGGAUAGACACUCUCUCCGGGUAUUCAAAUGGACCCUAAAGCAUGGGCCCAUAUCCGGUGUUGGGUGACCAGGAUAAUUGUGAUUUAGUUUCGCGCAGCAGGUAGAUCGAACCUGAAACAUGUUGCUGUCUCAGCCCCGUCUCCUUACCACUCGACCACAAUCACCCGGUCACUGAAGUCUCUUUUGGAAUGACCUCUAUGGAUCUUGGUAAAAAUUAAUUCCUCCGAUGAUGUUUACGGUCACGAUUUUUUAUGAUUCAUGCGUCUGAUGCUUUUUUAGUGUGGAUUUUGAGUCAAAACUUUUGACCCAACCUAAAUAGGCUUAUUAUCAUGUUUUUUUUUGUGAUAUGUUAUCUGUUUGUAUCAUAAUUAUUUGAAAAUUGAAUUUACUGCACUAUGAUUGCUUGAGGAAAGGUAGAGCUCUCAACCCACUACUAUUCCGUUUUCAAUUUUUUAUUUUUUAGGAACAAAAUCUUUUCUAAUUUUCAUUUGACUAAACCAUUGAGGAUCAGCAGAAGAAGGACGGGUCGAGAACGAAGUUGAAAAUAAACGUGAAGCUUAAUCAUCAAGUUAACUAAGAAAGAAUGAUGUUAUUAAGCUUCAGAUCAAGGUCGAUGAGAAGACAUGUCAAAUCGUUCCAUGCUCUCUUCAAGACCUUUGGUUGUGGGCCUGUGGCUCCGUAUCAUGUGUUCAUCUGUAGGCAUGUUCAUCCUCUUAAUUUUAAUGGUUAUGGUGACUAUUUUAUGAUCCAGUCGUAAAUUUAGAAACUUUGUAUUUGCCCAAAAAAGUAAAUAUUUUUUGUAAUAUUUAUAUUAUCCGGUGAUAUGUCUUAUGUUAUCUUCACUCAUGAUCAAUGAUUUUAAUGGCAUCUCCCCUGAUAUUUGUGAUCAUCUUUAGAAAGUUCACAAAACAUGUUCUUCCACAAUCCAAUCGACAAACCAAAAGCCUCUGCCAAGACCUCUGAAAUCAAAUCAUAAUAUCAAAAUAUCUACAGGUAUUGCUUGGAUUUUUUUAAAAGUUUCAGUUCAUGUUUCUUAAUAAAGAUCUUCAUGAUUUGUUUUUGUAUACGUUUAUGAUACUCCAUAAACGGGAAGUCACUGAAUAUUCUGUUACUUUCACUUACUGGAUAUGACUGUGUUUAUAACAUCUUGUUUUUUUUAAAAAAAGGAAGCAGUCCAUGAUGAUCCAGGGAUCAAUUAGCGUCCACUGGUUGAACACUUUCUAACCCCCCUCAGAUAAGGAGGUAUUUAUGAGCUGAGUUCAUUUGAUGUGACAAAGAGCAAUCAGUAUUUCAAGCUGACUACUGCACCCGUCUCAGUUAGGUUCACUUAGCACACUACCUUGAUAGAGAUCACAGAAACCAUUAAUCCUAUACCGGCAGAGGUCUUCCUGUUCUGGAGCUUUGAUCAAGUGUUGUUACUGGCUAACACAAACAUCCUCUUACCAGGUCUUUUUCUCAACUUUGCCUCCAUAGUAUAUGGAUUACGAUUGUUUUGUUUGAGAUUGGAAAUGUUAUAACUCCUUACUCUUUGAUAUAAGAUAUUGGUGGGGAAGUUAUGGGCAUCAAAACCACCCACAACGGUAAAACACACUAUGGCAAAUAUGCGACUUGAACAAUAUGUUUGAAUCAUUACUAAAUUUAAAGAAUUUAUUUUACACAGUGGCUGUUAUCGUAGUUAUAUGAACUUGCACCUCUAUUUUACUGUCCAGGUCAGUUCAACAACUUACAUGUUCAUCCUCCUUACAUGAUGACAUAUAUUCAAUGAUCCCAGCGCUGAUAUGCCGGGAGCUGCAUCUGUAAUAACAAAUCCCUCGCAUGGUGUGUACAUUGGUGUUUCUAUGACCAGCAGAAGGCUUGAUAGUCAUGGGAUGGUUGAAGAAAACAGAAUCGGGACAGCUCUACCAGGUGCUCGAGCUAUUGUUCCCGAAAUGACUGCGGAGUGCGGAGAAGCCAACAGUUCUGGAACAUGGGCUCUUUGUAAAGAAGGCAUGCAUUGAGUAAAAUCUUAAGUAAGGGAGUCUAUGACCCUCCUGUCGACUCCUACAAACUAUGCUGGAGCUUUUUUAAAUUUUGCAUAUUAAUGAAAUAUGACUUAAGAAUCAUUCCCACCGUCAUGUUAUAUCUCAUCAAGUAAGCUCUGUUUUUACAUGUAUAUAUAUAUAAAUAAAAACCACCUUAUGAACUCGGUGGAGGCACUGACUUGAAUGUUCAAUGUAGUCGCAUAUUUUAAGCACCACUUUACAACAAUUAAGUCAUUGACUCACUUUGUUCAAAAAAAAAAAAGUCAUUAACUCCCUUAAAGAAAGGGUUCAUAUCAUGUAUCACACACUUAACUCAAUCUUCACCGUCGUAAAUUAUCAUUGCAUGUUACUAUAUUUGUAGAGCAUAUAUCGGCUGUAGUACACGUUUUUUUUUUGAACUUUACUGUAGUAAAAGUUUCUUUAACGAAAAACCUUUUGUAGCAUGUGCACCACUUGCAAUAAGCUAACGAACAUUCACACGAUCAAGAAAGCAAGUUAUCUAUUCUACUAAAAUCUCAACUUUCACUGCUCACUCAGUCAAAUUAACAAUUGUGGUGCAACCUAUUCAAGCAUAAACAAAACUUAAACAACGCGAACAGUUGGGAACUUUCCAAAAAACGCAGUCGAACACUUUUAAACGUUUCGGAUUAAUAAAAUAGCUUACAUCCCAUUACAUCAAUACACAGGCACAUCCCAAUAAUAAUCUCAUUUGCCUCCUAAGCACCAAUCACAAUCACCAAAAGCUUCUCCUACAACAAAGUUUACAGCUAACACGUAAUAGGCAAAUGACCUCCUAAAUUGUUUGACUUAUUAUUUUCAAACCAAAUUUCAUUUUGUGGUAUGGACAAUAAUCAUCUACAAUCACCGGAAAGAAUUAUAACACACAUCAUAAUCAAACAAACAUGAUAAUACUAUAAAUAAGAUACAAUAAAUAUCGUACCAACUUUACAUAAAAAACACAUGAAAUCCAAAUCAAUAGGAAAAAUAAUUAACAACAGUAUAAAUUUUUUUUAGGGCUGGGCAAAUAAACCGAACCCGAAAAUCCGAACCGAACCCGAUCCGAUAAAAAUGAAUCCGAACCGAUCCGAACCCGACAUAAAUACCGAAUGGAUCCUGUUUUUUGGUAUUUUGGGUUAUGGGUAUUAUCCGAACCGAACCCGGACCUAAAUGGAUAUCCGAUAGAACCCGAAAUAUUUAAAAUCACAAAAAGAACUUCUACCAAAUAUGAUCUUAAUUCUUAAUAUGUAUCCAAACUACUUUAAGAUAUUAUUGAACUUCUAAAAUAAUUAUAUGUUACAUGAAGGUUGAUGGUGGAAUGUGGCGGUUGAUGCCUGAAGUUUUUAGAUUUUGGUUUUGUUUUUAUUGAAUAAUGUUUCUCAUUUCAUGAGAACUUAUUUUUUGUUUUAUGAUUUCAUUUAUCUGGUUUUCUUUCUAUCACUAACUAUGUUUAUCUUUCGCUUGAUUUUGAAUGAUCACGUUUGAUGUUUUUUCUUAUUUUUGAAUCGAUUUUACUUAUGUUUUGGCUAUUAAAAUAUGUACAAAUCAUGUAUUUUAAAUCCGAAGAACCGAUUUCAUUUAUGUUUUAGUUACAAAAUAUGUACAAAUCAGGUAUUUUUAAACCGAAGAACCGAUUGGGACCCGAACCCGAAAGUACAAUGGGUUAUACCGGUUCUUUGAAGAUUUACUAACCCCGACCCGAACCCGAUAGAACCCGAACCGGUCCCGAACCGAACUUUUAUAUAACCCGAAUGGGGUUGAUUUUGAUAAACCCGAAAAACCGAAACCCGAAUGGAUAAAACCGAAACUCGAUUGGGACCCCGAAUGCCCAUGCCUGAUUUUUUUAGUUAUUCUUAGUUUAAAUUUUCUUCAGUGUCAAAUUCAAAUAGAAAUCAAAUAGGAAAAAUGUAAAUCAUUACAUUUUCCAUAAUUUUAAAAUUUAAUAAUUUUGUGUUUUCUGACAAAAAAUAAUGUUAGUGGUCAUUUUUGUAACUUAUGUUAGUGGUUUUUUUUAACUCAAACCAACAAAUUUAAUAAAAUUUACAAUUUGAUCUUAGAAUAAAAAUAAAUUAUCUUUAUUAUUUUCAAUAUAGAGUAAAUUUCCAAAUGUCUUAUAAAAUUAAAAUAUAUUUUAUUAUAAAAUAGUUUUAGUGUAAACUCACCCUCCGUAGGACGGGCCAACCCCUAGUUUCACUAUAAAAUAGAGUAACUUUAUUAUAGAAUUAGAAUUGCUUCAGUAGUUUACUAUAUAAUAGAGUUACUUUAGAGUAAAAUAUAGAGUAAUGUUGAUUUUUUACUCCAAAGUAAUUCCCUACUUUUAAUUAUAAGCACAAGGUUGCUACAUGUCAAUGUUUCCAAUGAAUUUGUGGUGAAUGCUUCAAAAGUAAAGUUAAUAUCGUUUGUGAAUUCAAAUCUUUAUAUCACUUGUAUUUUUCUUUUUUUUAACAAAUUAUAUGUAACAGUAAUUGUUAUAAAAUAAAUAUAUUAUAUUAAAAAAUCGUAUAUGAAUAAAAAUGUGUUGACUAGUUCAUAUUUGAACUAGGCCUGGGCAUUUGGAUCGUCGGGUCGGAUUCGGAUCGGGUCCUUUCGGGUCCAGAUCUUUCGGAUCUAAGAGUUUAGAACCCAAUAGGGUAAUUUCAAAUUUUUGGUUCCGGAUCGGUUUGGAUCGUGCCGGGUCCGGGUCGGGUCGGGUCUUAGAUAGUUACCCAUUCGGGUAACUAGAAUUUAUCGGUUCGGAUUCAGUUCGGUUUUGGGUCGGAUUCGAUUCCGGUUUGAUUUAAAAAGAACUAAAAAUACAAAAAAAAUAUCUGAAAAUAUUUAUAUAUCCGAAAAUAUUCGAAAUUUUAUUCAAAAUUUGUGUUUUUAUUAUAUUAAAAUGUGUAUAUAUAAAAAACUAUGCGAGAUACAACAACAAUUCGUUGUCUCCUAGUGGUUGACUCCUAUGUUCUCUAGACGAAUAACCCGUCUUUGAUUUCCCCUUGAUGCAUUUAAUUUUCAUUAUUAAUUCGGGUAGCCAUCGAGUUUCGGGUUUGGGUCGGGUCGGGUCCAAGACUCACGGGUCUUCUGCAACAAGACUGAUAGGGUAAUUUGAUCGGAUCGGUUUCUACCCGAACCGGGUUUUUUGGGUCGGUUUCGGAUCGGAUCUUCGGAUCCGGAUAAAAUGUCUACGCCUAAGUUGAACCGAAAACAACCCAUUAUUUUGUUUUGAUUUUUCACUGGGACAUACAAGCCGACCACAUGUGAACGCUCCACCAAUUGUGAUUUUUCUAUUUUACGCAGUUUUUUUUUUUAAAUUUGGAAAAAUAGUUGUUUAAAAAAAAAAAGGAAAAAUCAUAAUCUCUUAAGAACCGUCGGAUCAAUCGAACGGUGGAAAAAAACCUAAUGCAUAAUGGAAACACCAAACCCUCCUCGUGCUUAUAUAAUAAGCUCAAACCUAUUACGCUCUCUCUCCCCACACCAUAAAACUCAAACCCAAUCUCAAAAGCUUCUUCACUCACACAAUGUCGGGUAAAGGAGAAGGUCCAGCUAUCGGAAUCGAUCUCGGCACCACCUACUCUUGCGUCGGAGUAUGGCAACACGACCGCGUUGAGAUCAUCGCUAAUGAUCAAGGUAACAGAACCACCCCCUCUUACGUCGCCUUCACCGACUCCGAGAGGUUGAUUGGUGAUGCCGCCAAGAAUCAAGUCGCCAUGAACCCCAUCAACACCGUCUUCGGUAUGUAAAUCUAAAGUUUUGAUUUUUAGGGUUUAUAGCUAGAUCUUAGCUGAUUGUGAUUUUUAGGGUUUAUAAGUUGAAUUUGAAAGUUUUAAUCUUUUGGGUUUAUAAGAAGAUUUUAGUUGAAUUCGAAAGUUUUAAUCUUUUUGGGUUUAUAAGAAGAUUUUUGUUGAAUUCGAAAGUUUUAAUCUUUUGGGUUUAUAAGAAGAUCUGAUGAUUUAAUGUUUUUUAUUAUUAUUAUGAUAGAUGCAAAGAGAUUGAUUGGUCGGAGAUUCAGUGACGCAUCAGUCCAAAGCGACAUGAAGCUAUGGCCUUUCAAGAUCAUCCCUGGCCCAGCAGACAAGCCAAUGAUUGUCGUCUCUUACAAAGGAGAAGAGAAGCAGUUCGCAGCCGAGGAGAUCUCCUCCAUGGUUCUCAUCAAGAUGCGUGAGAUCGCCGAAGCUUACCUUGGCGUCACCAUCAAGAACGCUGUGGUCACUGUCCCAGCCUACUUCAACGACUCUCAGCGUCAAGCUACAAAGGACGCUGGUGUCAUCGCUGGUCUGAACGUGAUGCGUAUCAUCAACGAGCCGACUGCUGCGGCUAUUGCUUACGGUCUUGAUAAGAAGGCGACGAGCGUUGGGGAGAAGAACGUUUUGAUUUUUGAUCUCGGCGGUGGUACUUUUGAUGUCUCGCUUUUGACUAUCGAAGAAGGUAUCUUUGAGUUGAAGGCUACUGCUGGAGACACUCAUCUCGGUGGUGAGGACUUUGACAACAGAAUGGUUAACCAUUUUGUUCAAGAGUUUAAGAGGAAGAGCAAGAAGGAUAUUAGCGGUAACCCCAGAGCUUUGAGGAGGUUGAGGACGGCUUGUGAGAGAGCGAAGAGGACUCUUUCCUCCACUGCUCAGACCACCAUCGAGAUUGACUCUCUCUUUGAGGGGAUUGAUUUCUACUCUGCUCUCACGCGUGCUAGGUUCGAGGAGCUCAACAUGGAUCUCUUCAGGAAGUGUAUGGAGCCUGUGGAGAAGUGUCUGCGUGAUGCUAAGAUGGACAAGAGCACGGUCCAUGACGUUGUCCUCGUCGGUGGCUCCACCCGUAUCCCCAAAGUUCAACAGCUUCUCCAAGACUUCUUCAAUGGCAAAGAGCUCUGCAAGAGCAUUAACCCCGACGAGGCUGUGGCUUACGGAGCGGCUGUUCAGGGUGCUAUUCUAAGCGGUGAAGGGAAUGAGAAGGUGCAAGACCUUCUUCUGCUGGACGUGACUCCUCUGUCCCUCGGUCUCGAAACCGCCGGUGGAGUUAUGACGACCUUGAUCCAGAGGAACACUACCAUCCCGACCAAAAAGGAACAGGUCUUCUCCACUUACUCUGACAACCAGCCUGGUGUUUUGAUCCAAGUCUACGAAGGUGAGAGAGCCAGGACCAAGGACAACAACCUCCUCGGGAAGUUCGAGCUCUCUGGCAUCCCUCCUGCUCCACGUGGUGUUCCUCAGAUCACUGUCUGCUUCGACAUUGACGCGAAUGGUAUCCUCAAUGUUUCUGCGGAGGACAAGACCACGGGGCAGAAGAACAAGAUCACCAUCACCAACGACAAGGGUCGCUUGUCUAAGGACGAGAUAGAGAAGAUGGUGCAAGAGGCUGAGAAGUACAAGUCUGAGGAUGAGGAGCACAAGAAGAAGGUUGAAGCCAAGAAUGCGCUUGAGAACUACGCUUACAACAUGAGGAACACGAUCCGCGAUGACAAGAUUGGUGAGAAGCUUCCUGCUGCGGACAAGAAGAAGAUUGAGGAUUCUGUUGAGGAGGCGAUCCAGUGGCUCGAUGGGAACCAGACGGCUGAAGCUGACGAGUUUGAAGACAAGAUGAAGGAGCUGGAGAGCGUGUGCAAUCCGAUUAUUGCUAAGAUGUAUCAAGGAGCUGGUGGUGAAGCAGGUGGCCCCUCUGGUAUGGAUGAUGAUGAAGCUCCUCCUUCUGCCGGAGGUGCUGGCCCCAAGAUUGAGGAAGUCGACUAAGCUGUGGUGCUUUCUUUUGCCUUGAUGGUUUGAAUUUCAAGUGUUGUUUGGUUUUUAUGUUUUGCUUUAUUUCUGAGCUAUGUAGUACUCUGGAACUUUUUCUAUAUUUCUAAUUAAGUUGCAGUUUCAAACUUGCCCGAUAUUAAUUAGUCUCACAUUAUCUCUCUGUUUUUGGGUUCUAAUUGCUUGGCUUUGCUCAUGUAAUUUAACCGAAACAGAGUGAGGAACCUUUAGAGAUGUGUAUCAAUACAUUUAUGUUUUCAGGUGAUUCUUGCUUGAUCGGUUUGUGUCACAUCUUCUUUUAAAGAACCCAAACUCAUCAAAUGCAGAGUUGUAGCGGUGGUUACUCGGAACCAAAGACCUCUAACAUCCUCUAUUCCUCUCACACCCUUAAAUAUAUAUAUCUCUAAUGUGCAUACUAAAAAGAUUAUACUGUGUAAUAGUGGUUGAAAGGAUGAACCAAAACAAAGCUAACAAGAGUUUUAGUCAUUUUACUGACACAUCUCAAUUUAUCUUGAUAUAUGGUUUGAAGAUUAUGAGUCUUCUUAUUAAGCAUCAUUUUUUUAAUAAUGAACUAGAAUUCUAGAAAUGCCAAAAUCCCCAAAAAUUAAAAACAUGAACCCUAACGUUAAUAUUUCACGUAUGUAUUUAUGCACUUUCCAACCUCAGCUGACCCGUAAAACUCACGUUGGAAACUAUAGAGGAUAUGUUUUUUUUGAAAUCCAUAUAGUAUUUAGAAAUCUAAGUAAAAUAUACAAAUUUUCUCGGAUUAGUAUUUACAAAUCCAGAAGUUUUCUUUCGGAUUUGGGCCUUUGUAUUUUUCACAAAGAAAUCCAUGCAAAUCCAUUCAAAUACAUUAUGAAAUCAAAUCUAUUAGUAAAUACGUAUGAUUGAAUAACACUUGAUUUGAAUUAGAAUUUAUGAAUCAUUAAAUGAAUAACACUUGAUUUGAAUUAGAAUUUAUGAAUCAUUAAACGAAUAACACAUGAUUUUAAUACAUAUUUUAAAAUCAUAAAACCAAUAACACUAGAUUUAGUUUGGAUUUUCAAAUUUAUCAAAAUACACCAACCAAUAACCCCCUUUUAAGAUGUGUUGUUCAUUCAGAAUCAUUUCCACUAAGUGAUAGAAAAGAUUAGGGGUUUAGCACUCAUAGCUUUUUAAGUCUUUGACGAUUUGAUUAUCACAUCGCUGAUUUCAAUAUUAUGUCUUGUAAUCACCAAUUAUUUUCAAUAGAAACCUACGUUUUUAAUAAUUUAUUAUUGCACUGGUAUAUGGCGAAUUCAGAUCAAAUAAUUAACAACGGCAUGAGGAAGGAGCUUACUUGUGAUAUCCACCAAUUGAGAAGUAACUGCAAUACUGCAUUACUAUAAAGCAUCCAAUUUAGCUAGUGAAGUAACGUUAGAUAUUUUAUGUCGAUGAAACGAGCCAACAUGACGCACAGAAAGUAAGCUUCUAAGAAAAAGUGAUUAUAUACACGUAUUUUCUUUUUCAAAAGAAAAAUGCACAUAUCUACAAAAUAUUGAUGUGAAGGGGAAAAAGUUGUCUAAAGAUAGACUAAAAGCGAAAAAGACAAGAAACAAUUAUUUAAAAUAGAAAAUGAACAGUGGAAAACUAACGGAGAAGCAUUGCCUAGAACAACAACAUUGUCACGGCAACGCUAGUGUCGCUUUAAUGGAAAAGUGGGCCGAAAUGAUACACCGUUGUAUCGCCUAUGUCUGUCUAUGUCAAUUGCAUCAUAUUAAACCUAAACAUUGGUUCUAGAAGAGUUUUAGAGAAUCUAUAAACUUUGCUUCCGUGAGUUAUUGAAAUACACCAACAAUCGAAGAAAUCUCCAUCACAUCUCAAUUUAUUUCUAAACCAUAUUCAAAAAAUAUUAACAAUGUAUUUUAAAAUAAUGAUGUAAUUUUAGAAAUUUAUAGUUCUAUUAAUAUAUGUAAAUUUUUUUGAAAUGAUAGAUCUUAUAUUUAUAAUAUAAUUAAAAUUUAAAAGUUUUAUACUCUAAUUUAUACACUAUUUAAAAAAAAUUAAAAACCUUAAAAUCAUAACUGUACUAAGUGUUUUGCAGGCAUAAUUAUCUUAUAGAUAUUUAUUAAUACUUUCAAUAAUAAUUCAAAGAUCAGUAUAAUAAGUUAUUGUUUAUACUGUUAUGUAUAUAAAUAAUUAUUGAUUUUUUUGUUUAUAUAUAAAUAAUUCAAUGUUCAAUUUUUUUUUUUGAAAAUACUCAAAUAAUAGAAAUAUUUUGAAAAUUAUUUUGAAAACUACUUCAUUGGAUUUUUUUCCUUAAUUAGUAUUUAAUUAUACAUUGUUAUAUUUCUUAAUUUCAACCUUUCUAUCACUAAAAUAUUAUUGUGGAUAAAAACACAGUAUAUAUAAGAAUUAUCUUUAUAUUUUAAAACAUUUUAUUUUUUGGCAAUUGUUUAUUAUAUUAGUUUAUCUAAUAAACACUAUUUAAAAUCGAUACCUUACGAUUGUAAUGUGAGCUAUAAUCGGUAUAAAAAUUUCAACAACUACAGUACGUGUAACCAUAAAUAAUAGCAAUGAAAACGUUUCUUCAAUUGCAAAUAUUAAAAACGUUUACGUUCUAAUGUAUUAAGUAAUGUAUGCAUGAGACAUAUCAAAAGAAGAAAAAGUAUCAGAUAUUUGUUAGAUAAGACUUUAUCCCCAGAAUUUGCAUCGAUUCCCAACCCUAUCUUUUAGGGGUGGGCACUUUACCCGAUAUCCGAAAUGGCAUCCGAACCCGAUCCAAAAAAACCGAACCGAAAUCCGAACCGAAGUAGCAAAAUACCCGAACGGGUAUUGAAUAAUGAGAGAUUGGAUACCCGAACCCGAACGGAUAAUACCCGAACCCGAAUGGAUAUCCGAAGAUAACCGAACAUAUGUAUAAUUAACCUUAUGUUUCUAGUUUAUAUCUCUCAUUUUAUAUAAAAUAUUUAUAUUGAUACUACACAUACUUUAAGUUCAUAUGAUAUACAUACAAUUACGGAAAAAAUGAUUUGCUACUCACUUAAAAUGCAUGUCGAGUUUUUUAUUUCAAAAAUUAACAAAAAGUUAUAUCCAAAAUUAAAAAAAAAUAACUAAAUUAAUGCAUUUUUAGUUUUAAAAUGUUAUGUCCAAAUCUAUUAACCAUUCAAUCUAUUAAAAAUAAAAAAUUAGUUAACUAAAAGUUAUAUUUUUAAAUACAACAAACUUGAGAAAUGAAAAUUUUAAUUUUUUUUUUCAAAAUCUAAAUAUCCGAACCCGAUCCGAAAUAACCGAAUCCGAACUAAAAAUACCCGAACCCGAUCCGAAGUACAGAAAUACCCGAACGGGUUCUAGACCUCUAUACCGAAAUACCCGAAAAUCCGAAAUACCCGAUCCGAACCCGAACGGGUACCCGAACGCCCACCCCUACUAUCUUUUGGUUUAAUAGAACCAUUUUGACAUUUUUGUCUAUGUUCAGAGCCCUAAAAAUCAAUUUCAGUGUUAUACAGAAGAUCAACUUUACAUAUAUACUGAAUAAAGUGUACAAUUACAUUAAAAUUGUUAAAGCAACUGGUCCUGAUAUUUUUAGGAUUUUAUCUAAUUAUGUAUUAGGGGUAGAUGAUUUAUAUAUUAACCUUUUAAAUUUUGGAACAAAAAGAAAUGUUGUUGGGAUUGUGAAAGUCCAUGUCCAACUAUUUAUUGUCCGAUUAAUAUGUUAUUGUCCGUUUUGGGCUUAAAAUGCUGGUCCGUAUAGAUUUAUUUGGUUUCCUUUCUAAAGGUUUCGUAUUACAUCCAAAAUCUUGUGAUUUGAUCCCACAUACCUCUAAUACCAUUUAUUUCUCAAAAGUAUUUUGGUCUUCUUGCCAGACUUUUCGUCAUUCCCUUUUAAUACAAAUUAUUUGGAUUGUUAAGCUAAUAUCUAAUUCUUUAUUGUCCGAUUAGUACAAUAUUGUCCACUUUAUACUUAAGAGACUGAUCUGCAUGGUUUUAUUUUUGAUUUCAUUUCUAAAAAAAUUCAUACUAACUAAAAUUGGACUUCGUAUUAUAUAUUAAAAAUUAUUUAUCUAAAUUUCCAAUGUGAGAUUUCGUUCGAUAUCUCACGAAUAUUUCAUGUCAGCAUAGGAUCGAUCUUGUGAACAACAAAACAUUGUUUUUCUUAACGGAACUCACCAUAUAACAUAUGGAAAAAAAUCUAACAAAGCUUUUUUUUUUUAAUAAAACAUCUAACAAAGCUGAAACUAAAAAUUAGUUAGUUGAAGAAGGUUGAAGCAUAGAAUGCGCUUGAGAACUACGCUUACAACAUGAGGAACACGAUCCGUGAUGAGAAGAUUGGUGAGAAGCUUCCUGCUGCUGACAAGAAGAAGAUUGAGGAUUCUGUUGAGGAGGCGAUCCAGUGGCUUGAUGGGAACCAGACGGCUGAAGCUGACGAGUUUGAAGACAAGAUGAAGGAGUUGGAGAGCGUAUGCAAUCUGAUUAUUGCUAAGAUGUAUCAAGGAGCUGGUGGUGAAGCAGGUGGCCCCGCUGGGAUGGAUGAUGAUGAAGCUCCUCCUUCUG
rnacentral:lncRNA from 1 species